rnacentral:lncRNA from 1 species
GCCCCGGUACCCCUCCCUUUCCCUUCCCUUAUUUUAAUAUAUAUAUAUAAUAUUAUAUAUAUAUAUAUAUAUAAAAAUUGAAUUUCGAUCGCAAAUUAAAGUUUUUCAUUGUGUAUUUAAAAUUUGUGCAGCGUAUAUUCCGGUCGCUGCUCGUACGAGGCCUGCGGCCGGAUCCUGAACCCCGAUAUACGGGUCGGUCGGGCUGCUGUGGUCGGGGAGCUGGCAGCUGUGCCAGGAGGCCGUCAGGCGUGACUGAAGGGCGCGCGAUCUCCUCCAUCCCCGCUUCUGCUUCUGCUGCUGUGCCGCGGUUCCGCGCUCAGACCUGCACAUCCGCCACGUCGACAAAGCAAUGCGCCCGCCGCCGCCGAUCUCCAUCGGGUUGGUGUCCGGUCCGCGAACCGCGUUCAAGCGAGCCGGCGUCCGCAAAGCCGGCUCGUUGGCGGCGCUGGCCGAGCCGGCCGAGGAGCGGGAGAGCGACUCGGCCGAGGAGGAGACCGCCGGAGGCUCGCACGUCAGCAAGCCGAGCCGAGCGAGAGCCGAGCCGACGAGUGCGCCGACGCGGACGGGACGAGGAGGAGGAGGAGGAGGAGGAGGAGGAGGAGGUGGGCUCGACCUCACGCUCGGGCUCAGCCGCCGCUCCCGAGCGAGCCGAGUUGGCUCGGUCGAAAAACACGGAAACCACCAUUCACCCCCCGACGCGUGUCCCGUCGAGCUCGGCCUCGGGCUCCCCGCCUAGCCGCCGCCGCCGCAUCCAUCCGACGGCUUACGUGGGGGGGGGAGAGAGCUACUACAGUAGUAGGAGGCGAUCGGACGGCUGUGAUUAACUCGGGAACAGUUUUGGCUCUUUGUUCUUUGUUUCAGGGGUGCGUACGUUUCAUGUUUCUCUUUUUGGAAACACCCCCGUGAAAAUAAACUCUUAGCUUUUUUUCUUUUUUUUUCUUUUUUUUCUCUCCCCUUUUUCCCUUUUUCUUUCACUCUUUAUCUUUUUCCUAAUUUUUUUUCCUUUUCUAGUUUUGGGUAAUGAGAGCUGUACAGAGUCUGAUAUGUACCUCUUUUUCCUUGAUACUCAUAUAAGAUAUAAUCUUUUUUUUUUUCAUUUCAAUUUUUGUUGCUAUAUAUUAGGCAUUAUUUAUUGAAAAAUAUAGAUAUAUAUAUAGUUCGGGUAUGAUGUUUGCAAAAAUACUAAGUAUCUGGUGCUUAUAAAUUUUUACUAUGAUGUUUGCAAAAAUACUAAGUAUCUGGUGCUUAUAAAUUUUUACUGUUAAAUUUAUAUUUUUGUUUUCUUCGUAGGAUGAACCAAUAUAUAACCUUGCAUUUUAAUAUUUUCUUUUAUCCUCUAUAUGUAACCUUGCAUCUUAAUAUUUUGUUUUAUAUAUCCUCUAUAUAUAUAUAUAUAUAUAUAUAGAGAGAGAGAGAGAGAGAGAGAGAGAGAGAGAGAGAGUAUUAAGAUGCAAGGUUACAUAUAUGUUCACCCUAGGGAGAUACUGCAUGAUGUUAAUUACACGUGAGAGGUUCGUAAAGAAAAUGGUUGUUGAAGUGAGUGAGAGAGAGAGAGAGAGAGAGAGAGAGAGAGAAGAUAGAGAGAUGCAAAAGUUUCUGGGCUUUGGCAUUUUGUGCAGGUGCAAUGAAAACUGCAUGAGACAAGAUGCGUUGGCACACAUGCAAAAAUCAGGAAUAAAUAGUGUAAUAAAUUAUAUAUCUCCCAAAUAUUAAUUUGAAGGGAUAUUAAUUUAUGUGAAAAAGGAAAAAAUAAUCAAUAUACACUCCUUUUUGGGUAAACAAUAAAUGGAUUCCAAAUUCAACGUAGGUACCAUUCAGCUCGGUGUAGUUUGGAAAAGGAGAAAAUGACAGUUCUAUUUUGACUCAAAAUAUUUUAAAAAUUAUUUAAUCUCGUUUUCCACGUCACUAUUACAUCUCUAUGGCCAUUAAAAGUCAUAGGUAUCGUUGAAUUUUUUUGAAGGUAACAUAAGUUUUAACUGUACUGAAAAACUAGUAAUCAAUUCCUCUUUGAAUAUAAAUAUUAAAUAUAUUAUUUUUUAAUAUUUUAAAACUUUUUGAAGAAUAAUAUUUUUAUUUUACAUAAUUUUUUUAACAUGAUAUCAAAAUACAAAUUUCUAAGUUUAAAUCUCACUAGACUCAAAAUUAAGUCUCAUUUAAAUUAUUUAAUUUAAGUACAUUUUUUGGGCUUGUUUUUCGUCUUUCUUUAAUUUGAUAGCUAAAGCUUUUGGAGAACACAAUAAUUUUAUGUAAACUACCAUAACUUCUCGAGGAUUUGACCCUAAAAACAAGGGUUGUAUUUGGAUCAGUUCGGAGUAGUUAGAUACUCCGAUAUAUAUCAUUCAAUUGUAUUGAAUAUAAAAUUAUAUAAAUAUCAUUUUCUAAUAGCUUAAAUUUUUUGAAGAAAAUGGUUGUUUCAUAUAACUAAUUAAUAAAUUUUUAUAUAUGCCGACUUGUGGCACACUGGAUAUGUUUCUAAUUAGAAGAAAAUAAUUGGUUCUGGAAGUGGAUUAAAAUUUUGUUAUAAUUAAGGUAGGGAUCUAAUCAAUAUGAAUAAUAGUUCCAAAUUGUAUAGAAAUAAAAAUCAUAAUUCAUGUCUAAUAUGUAAAAAUAUUUUUAUUUAUCAGUUUAAGAUUUUGGAUUGGUUGGAACUCUAUUAAAAUAAUUAAUACUAAAGUAGCCGCAAAUUUUCUUGAGAAGGUACUUAGAAGAAGUGGAAAGAGAAACACUAGAAGAGGGUUCUCAAUUAUUAAAAACACCUUUAUCAAGCAAAAAUAAUUUCACAAGGUACACAGCAGAGCAUGUUAAUUAAUAUAUAUCGUCCUAUUUAGUUCAAGUCUACGUCUUGAAUCUAAUAAAAAAUUUUGCGUCAAUAUUUAUCAUUUAAUAGUAUCAAAUUUCAUUUAUUUAAUAGUAUCAAAUUUAACUUGCAAUAAAUUUCUUGUUUGUGCAUGUGUUGCUUGUGGUUCAUCUGCGAGCGAACAGAAAUGUUAAGACUAUUAAUUUCUUUCAUUGUACGUAAUCUUUCAGUAUUAGAGUGUGUUCUCUAAUUAUCAUUCAUUUUGAGCUAUAAUUUUGAUUCAAUUCUUUGACUUGUAAUUUGAAAAUGUGUAUAAUGUAUAAUAUGAUAUUUAGGAUCUGUUUGGUUCACGCGCGGUUUGUACGUAACAUCUAAGAGUGUACAAAUUUCUAACAAUCUCUCAACUCAAGUAGCAUAAUAGUUUAAUAACUAACUUGUCAUUUCAUAUAUAAAAUAUAUAAUAUUUUUGGAAUAUUAUAAAUUUUGAACCAAACAACCCCUUUAAUUAAUUUAGUCCGAUAGUUGUGGGAGAAUCAUCCAAUAAAUAAAGAGAAAUUCGCACACAGAGUACAUGUUUUUUGUCUUCUAAUUUUUUGUUUUUUUUAUUAAGAUAAGGAUAGCACAGUAUUAGCCCACAAAUUAAGUUAAUUGGAAACGUAACAGAUUUGGACGAGUAUUUUUUGACUUCUUCGUCUGUCGGUGGGGCUUAAUAUACAACUCCAAUUGGUAUUGAUACAUUACCAGCAACUUGAUUUGAAUCCUUUUGUUGCAUUUAUUGCACAAUAAUCCUCCGAUCAUUCUAUUAUGCUAUGAACCGAAUGCAGGGCGAUGCUGACCGGAUCACGUUGCUGACCAAGUCUGAUGCUCCCUCGAGAUCUAGAUCGACUCCUAAAUUGAUCCUCGAAUGCACCACUAUAUAUUGACUCAAACGACUCGAUUGAGGAAGUAUCGGCUCAACCGGGUUCUUUCGCCAAAUACUCACAGAUGAACUUAAAAACUAGUUUGGUUGAAAGAACUGAGCUAUUUAUAUUGAUAGAAAAGUGCGAAUACAGGACCUACAUGGGAUUAAAAUCUACUCCUAGAAAAACUCUUAAAACCAAAGGGAAAGUUUGCUGUGUACUCUUGACUAGGCUUUUAAGUAAAAGAAAAGUUGUAGGCUAUUGCUAAAAAGCUAUAAAUAUGCUACAAUUGAAAAAAAAAAAAUUGAAAUUGGUAUGGUGUCUUGUGUGUGGGAAAGACCCCUAUUGUAGAUGCAUGUGUUUUCUCUUAUUUAUAGUAGCACGCAUUCCUGCCCGCGGUUAUUGGGUGUUCUUAUAGUGGAAGAUUUUUCAGCCACAUUCCUCCUCCUGCUUACUGGAGUACAUGAUACUCCCUCUUCACGUCUUUAACCGUUCCUGCCUAAACCUCGAUCGCUGACAUUUUAGGCUUUCCUUUAUUAACUCCUUAAGCAUCACGUGCCAUCUUCUAUUUUGUCCAGCUAAGCACAUUCUUUUAUCCAACGGUCGAAAACUUGAUAGCACCAAGCACUUGAUACUAUCGAUAGUAUAGUAGCAUAAUUCAUAUAUAUAUAUAUAUAUAGAGUGAGGCUAUUAUGCUAUCGGAAGCACGGAGCCUUCCGUGCUUCCAGCUCGUUUUCGAUGUUGCGACUUUCAAAUCGUCGAUCGGCUCCGUUAAAUUUGAUCUAGAGUAUUUGAAGUACCUAGAAAAUAAAUUUUAUGAUUUUACGAUAUCAUUUGCCUAGUGAACAAAGGGACUCAAAAUCAACGGCUGAAAAUAAAAAUCUUACAAAAUGUGAUAAUAUGACAUUAAAAUUUUAAAUCAAAGAUAUUGAUCUUGUUUUAUAUAGUAUAAAGAAUUUUCUAUCAAAAUUUCACGUGAUUUGGAUAUUUCUACACCGUUAAACUUGCAAACGGCUCACUACGGCCAUUGAAAUUUGUUGAUUUUGAGCCCAUUCGAUCACUAGGCAAAUGAUAUCGAAAAAUAAUAAAAUUUAUUUUCUAGGUACUCCAAAUACUCUAGAUCAAGUUUAACGNNNNNNNNNNNNNNNNNNNNNNNNNNNNNNNNNNNNNNNNNNNNNNNNNNNNNNNNNNNNNNNNNNNNNNNNNNNNNNNNNNNNNNNNNNNNNNNNNNNNNNNNNNNNNNNNNNNNNNNNNNNNNNNNNNNNNNNNNNNNNNNNNNNNNNNNNNNNNNNNNNNNNNNNNNNNNNNNNNNNNNNNNNNNNNNNNNNNNNNNNNNNNNNNNNNNNNNNNNNNNNNNNNNNNNNNNNNNNNNNNNNNNNNNNNNNNNNNNNNNNNNNNNNNNNNNNNNNNNNNNNNNNNNNNNNNNNNNNNNNNNNNNNNNNNNNNNNNNNNNNNNNNNNNNNNNNNNNNNNNNNNNNNNNNNNNNNNNNNNNNNNNNNNNNNNNNNNNNNNNNNNNNNNNNNNNNNNNNNNNNNNNNNNNNNNNNNNNNNNNNNNNNNNNNNNNNNNNNNNNNNNNNNNNNNNNNNNNNNNNNNNNNNNNNNNNNNNNNNNNNNNNNNNNNNNNNNNNNNNNNNNNNNNNNNNNNNNNNNNNNNNNNNNNNNNNNNNNNNNNNNNNNAUAUAUAUAUAUAUAUAUAUAUAUAUAUAUAUAUAUAUAUAUUCAGCAAUAUUUUCAUGAACAUAUAUAAUGGAAACAUCCAAUGGCCUUACUUAUUAAGGCUUCAUUUCACAUUACUGAUUUUUCUCUUUUUGUAAACACUCAUUUUACAUAAUUUGAUAUAUCAGUAGAAAGGCUUUUCUCUCAUCUUUAUGAUUAGUUAGUUUGUAAUAUACUCAAACGAAGUGAUGAAUAACAACUUAUUUCAAAAUAGUCUUAAUAAAAACUUUUAAGUUUCCUUUUUAUUUUUUGCAAACAAAUAUCUUAAUUAGAUGUAAAAACUAUGAGGAAUUCACUGAAGAUGAUAAUUUUUUCCACUAAUCCAGGUCCUUGUAGCGAUCCCCCGCCAUGCGAAGUAUUAUAUAAUUAUUAGUGAAAUACCCGCGCGAUGCUGCGGAUAUAAAAAUAUUUUUAUAAUAAAUUUUACUUUUUUUAAUAUUUUUAUAUAGUUUUAUAAGUCUAAUUAUUAAUUAAAUAAAAAUUAUAUAAAAAUAAUUUAAUCGGUAAAUUUAUUUAAAUAAAUGUCAUUAAAAUUGAUAUAUGCGCAAAGUAAUUUAUACAACAAUUUAUUUUAUAAUUAUUUAUAUGAAAAUGAUUUGAGAUAAAUCUAUCCAAAUAAUUUUAAAAAAAUCAAUAAAUAAAGAAAAAAAUUAAAAAGACAAUUGGUAAUAAACAUUAAUAUAAUAUACAUCAGUAAAUACACCUAUAUAUAUAUUUUCUAAAAUUUCUACUCCUAAAAAAAUAUUGUUAUUUUUUAAUUAACAUCGAUAUUUUACCGUGAUUAAUUGCCAUCUAUCAGGUUUAAGAUUUAUUCAGCGCAUUUUAUUAUCAUAUAUAUUAAAUAAACAUCAAUUAAUGCAUAGAGUUUAGAGAAUUCAAAAUUUUUAAAAAUUUUUUUUUGAAGUUAGAAAUUUAAAUAAAUAUUACAUUAAAUUUGAAUUAAAAAUGUUAAAAUUUGAAAGUAUCAAAAUUUUAAUUUGAUAUUAUAAUAUAUAUAAUAUACUAUAUAAUAUUAUAUUAUAUAAAUAUAUAUAUAUUUCUCUAUCACAGCAAAGCGAAGAAAGGGGUUUUGGUGGGGCAUGUCAACCCUCAUGUCCCCAAACCCUCCUUUAAAUAGAAGAAAAAAUCUAUAAAGAUUAAUAUAAUAUUAAUACAUUUAUAUUUAAAAAAUUAAUUUUAAUAAUUUUAAUAAUAUUAUAAAUUAAUUAAAUAUUUAAAUAUAUUUAUUUUUUUAUACAAUAAUCAGUUAAAUAAAUUGAUUUUAUAGCCCAUUUUCUAAUUGAUGAGUCAUAUCAAAUAGUUGAUAAUAAAAAAACUGACUUACUAAUUGCAAUAAACAUUUAAGACAAUUAUAUAUAUAUAAUAUAUAUUCUAUAUAUAUAUAUAGACGUUGAGCUAAAUAACCUCGUAUGAGUAAACGGGUGCUUUUAACUAUCGAGUUGUUUUCGAUAUCGCAUGCGCAAAUUGACGAUCUGUCUCCAUAAAUAUUGAUCUACAACCAUUUAAACAAUAGAAAUCCAAAUUUCACGCACUUCGAUAUUGUUCUUAUUAUCCAUCUAGUGAAUCACAAAAAAUGAAUGGCUGAAAUGAAAUAUUCUUAAAAAAUGAUAUAGGAGUUCUGUAAUCAUAGAUCAAGAGUCUAUCUUGUUUUUAAGAGAAAACUCUCUUAUCUUCACCAUAAAAUUACAUCUAAACCCGUUGAUCAUUAAGCCAAAUGGAUGUCGAAAGCAUGAAAUUUAUUUCUCAAACACUCACGCUGGUAUAGAUCAUUCCAACAGGCCGAUCAUCAAUUUGGAACAUCUAUCAUCGAAAACAACUCGAUAAGUAAACACCUCGUUACUAUCGAGAUAUUUCAGCUCAACUCUAUAUAAUAUAUAAGAUCUAUAAUCUAUACUAUAUGCUAUAACUACUUAUAAAAGCGUGAGUUAAAAGCGUGAGUUUGAAUUUUUUGCCCUCUUUCCGCAAAUACGCCUAUUAAUAUACCGAUCCAAUAACACGACCUAAUAAAACGAUCAAUGCAACGUUAGAUGGCAUAAAUCACAUUCGUCCCUAUCAAUUAUUAUUCUAUUUUUUAAACUAUCAUAAAUUAUAUUAAUUUUUAGUCCACAGAUCUAAUCCAACGAACUGACCAGAAUUACAAGUAUCCGUGUCACUAUUUUUACCUAAAAUAUGCCAUCAAAUAGACAUAAUCCGAAGUUUCACUUACUUAUAAUGCAUCUACAUAUCUUUUAAUACACCGCCGCCCCAUAGUAAAAGAAUCAUUAAUUUACUAUACNNNNNNNNNNNNNNNNNNNNNNNNNUUUUUUACCUAAAUUGCCCUCAAAUAGUACGUAUCAAAUUUCACUUUUUAUAUGCAUGUCAUAUCUUCUAAUAACCGCCGCCCACAUAAUAUCAUAUUUUAUAACAAAUAAUAUUCGCAUUUCUAAAUAUUUUAUUUCUUACACAUAAUAUCCGCCACCUAUAUAAUAUCCAAUCACAUAAUACCUUCCGCAUAUAUAAUAUUUAAUCAUAUUUUUUAAAAGGUGAAUAUAUAAAAAUUAUCUCAAUUUUAUCUAUUAAUAUUUGAAAUAUGAGAUAUUUUUUCAAUAAAAUAUAAUAUAUAAAUUUACAAUUUAAAAAUUUAAAUUUGUAGAUAAAUAUGAUUCACAAAUUGAUAUUGAUUUGAGAUAAUUAUUAAAAUAAUUGUUGACAUAGACAAACCUUUUUUUAGUGGAAAAAAAUAUUGCAUUUUAUUUGCGAGAAUAGAAAAAAAUUUAUACUUAUCCAAAUUUUUGUCAACUGAAGGAUAUUUGCUGUAGAAUAUUUUUCACAAGCGCCCCAUAAAAUAAUAUUCCAUACUUGUCAAAAAAAUAAAAAUCUCUACGCAACAAACAUUGAAAAUAUUUUGUAUCUACUAUCUCUCACUACAACAAAAAUGAUCUAUAGCGACACUUUUAAAUAUAGGUACAUAUCAAAAAAGUGCUGUUAGCUAAAAUUACCGACACUUUUAAAAAGUGUUGCUAUAUGUCGGGUCGCUAGGUAUAUAGUGACAGUUAAAGAGUGUCGCUAUAAGCUAAAAGAGUGCUGCUAAUUUACCAAUACUUAUUUAAGCAUUUAGCAACCGCCGAAACUCUAUCUUGUUGGCUGCGGUGGCGGAGGAGAACGAUAGGAAGGCUCUUCGUUUAGAAUUUCAGUGGAUUGAGUGAAGAGAGAAGAAAAGAAGAUAAUUGAUUUUUCUUUUUUUUUUUCUUUUCUGUUUGUAAUCGGGCCAAAUGGACUGGGUGUGGUGGGUUGAGUAGAGUAAUCUUUUAUUUUUGGUUGUAUUGGGCUUUAUAUUUAGGCAUUAAUAGAUUUUUUUUUAAGUUUUAGCAUAAAUGGGACACUUACUCAAAAAUGUCCCAAACAUGUGUCCCUAUAACCUAAUUCUGUUGUAGUGUCUUAAUUAGCUAAUUAAAAAAAAUUAGGUUUGAAAAAUAAAACGAUUUAAAUAAGCUUAUCAAAUCAACUUUAAAUUUUAAAUUUAGUUCAUAAUUUCAAGUGUGAAUUAAUAUUUUAAUUUAAAAUUUGAAAUUAAUUAAAAUUUUAAUAUUUUGGGUAUGUGAACAAUAUUUCAAAUUGAAAAUAAUUAAUUAACUUGAAAAUAUUUCAAUUUUGAAAAAUAGAUGGGAUGAUAAAUAAAUUAAUGUCUUUAAUAAUUAUUUAUAUGAAAAAGGAUUCAAUUAUUUUAAUAAUUUAAGUUUUAUAUAAAUUAAUAUUAUUUUUUAAUUUAAAAAUUUAAUUAUUUAUUUUAAAAUUGGAUAACAUUAACAAAAUUUAAAAAAAAUUAUGAUAAUAAUUUAUACACCAUAAUUAUUAAUUUUAAUAUAUAAAUAUAAUUUAUUUAAUUAUUUAGUUGAUUGACGUGUUAUACUAUAAUUAUCGAAAUUUUCACUUAAAUUAGUAUAAUUGUCAUUAUAGGAUUCUCAGAUACACUAAUUUAAUAUCAUAGUGAGGUCGUAACAAAUGAUCCUUCCCGCGCGAACUGGUUCUUUUAUAAUUAUAUAAAAUAAUCUUGAAUUUAUUAUGUAAAAAAAAAAAUGUAAUCAUGAAAUAAGUCAAUAACUAGCAUAGUUAUAAUUGGCACAUUUAAUGCAUUACUGAACAUAUAUAAAUAUAUAUAGAAUUAGCUAUAUAAAUUAUAGUCAGAGUCGUACUAUAGUGUUUAUUUUCGAUUUAGGCGUUAAUCACGAUCCCCUCGUUAAAUAUGAUUAUAGGUAUCUAAAUUCUUAGAAAUUUUUAGUUUUUUCGAUAUAGUUUUACUUAGUAAAUAAUUAUAUAAAAAGGACGGAGAAAUUGAAUACUCUUUAAAAUUUAGUAUGAUUUUAAUUCAGAUCAAGCAUUUUAUUAAUCUAUAUAUUUUAAAGUAUUUUUUCCUAUAAAAAUUUGAAGAAUUUUAGAUUCUUCUACACUUAACUCCAAUUCCCAUAAUACAUUGAAAUUACUUUUGAAAUUUUUGAUUAUAAAGAAACUAUUCUCUAAAAUAUAAAAUUUUAUUUUAGAAACUUUAAAUACCUAGUCAGGUUUCAACAGAUGUGAUCGUUGAUUUUGAACGAACUAAGAUCGACAAUGUCAUAGUACGAGCUGGACUAUAAAUAAUAUACCUGUCUAUAUUAUAUAUAUAUAUAUAUAUAUGUAUAUUAUAUAUAUAUAUAUAAUAUUUAUAUAUAUAUAAUACUAUAUAUACUAUUAUAGAGAGAGAGAGAGAGAGAGAGAGAGCGUGUGUUCUAGUAUUUCUGAAAGCACGGAGGUCCGUUUCAAUUAGUUUCGAUGUCGAUUUCGAAUCGCGAUGCUCCGUAUAGACUUAUCUAGAUAUUUGAAUAUCUAGAAAAUAAUUUGCACAUUUUUGUAUCAAAUUGCCUAUGAUCGAAGUGGCUAAAAAUCACCGGCUGAAAAAGUAAGAACUACAAAUAUAGAAUUGAAUUAAUUUUAGAUCAAAGUAUUGAUCAUUGUUUUAUAUGGUAAAAAGAAUUUCUAUCAAUUUCAUUGAUUUGGAAUAUUUCUAACCGUUAACUUCAUAUGCUACACGGUCGUUAAAUAUGAUUUUGAGUCACUUCGAUCACUAAAGAAAUGAUUGAAAAAUCAAAUUUAUUUUUAGGUAUAUACAAAUAUUAUAAAUAAAUCUAACGGAGCCGAUGUAUUUAAAGUCGAACAUCGAAAACAAGUAAGCACGAGGGUCGUGUUUUAAAGAUAACACCUCUAUAUUACAUAUCAGAGAGAGAGGAAAGAGAGAGUUGAGCUAGAAUACUAUCGAUAGCAAACUGGCUCCGUUGCCACCCAUUUGUUUUCGAUGAUAAAGCCUCCAAAUAGACGAUUGGCACCGUUGAACAUGAUCUAUACCACUUGAAGUAUUUAGAAAUCAAAUUUCAAAUCUUUUCAACAUUAUUUGCCUAAUGAUCAAAAUGUUUCAAAAUUUGUAAUUUUAAUGGUCGAUAUGAGACGUUUUUUCGUUUAAUGGUGUAAAGAUAUCCAAAUCAAUUGAAUUUUUAUUAGAAAAUUUUUUAAACUAUUUAAAACAAGAUCUAUACUCUUGAUCUUGAUUACAAGACUCCUAUCAUCAUUUUUAAAGAAUAUUCAUUUUCAGCCGUUUAUUUUUGUGUCAACUCGAUGGAUAAGAGAACAAUAUCGAAAAUGUAUGAAAUUUGAUUUCUAAACACUUCAAGUGGUAUAGAUCAUGUUCAACAGUGCCGAUCGUCGAUUUAGAGGCUCCAUCAUCGAAAAUAAAUGGGUGGCAACACAACCCGUUUACUAUCGAUAGUAUUAUAGCUCAACUGUAUAUAGAGAGAGAGAGAGAGAGAGAGAGAGAGAGUUGGGUUGGAAUACUAUUGAUAGCAAAAAAACCUUUUUUGCUAUCAAGUUUUAAAUCCUUGGAUGAGAAAUUAUAGAUUUAGGAUGAUAUUAGUCUCUUAGGGUUGAGUGGUCCCCCUAGGGUUGAGUGGUCUCCACUAAGUUAUAAUAUUUAAUCCAGUAGUUAAAAAUGAUUAAAGGAGUUGAUUCAAAGGUUAAAAACUUGAUAGCAAAAAAAAUCUUUUGCUAUCAAUAGUAUUCUAGUCCAACUCUAUAUAUAUAAUAGAAGAAAGGAUUAGUCAACCACUCAUCAAAUAAUGCAUUUGAGAAUUUUCUCUUAGUUGUAGAAUGUUAAGUUCUCAACUAAAUAGAACAAACAAAUUAUAGAGUUACAUGAAUCCACUUGCUUUCUAUUAACUGGAUAUGUAAUUAGGGCUAGACCAAGUAAUUUGGUUAAGUGUAUUAGCUAUUUAUUAUUGGCUAAAAUAGGUCCAAUAUUUGUUCUAUGAUAAUAGGUGCACAAAAUUAAUAAAUCGAGUUGGAUGAGUCUAAUUAGUUGAGUUGGGCCACAGUCCAUAAUAAAUCAAACAAUAAGAGAUCCAACAAUUAAUAGACUUAAUAUAUAGAUAUGCUAAAAAUAAAAAUAUUUAAACACCGUUUUCUACCGGCUUACGCUUUUAUUAAAGUACAGCCGUUGUUUUGUAUUAUUUAACAAAAUGGGUUGAGUCAAGUCCUAAUCCGUGAGCAUUAUAUAUAACUGGGUCCUGAAAUAUGACGAGUAUGUUUUUCCUAUCAACACGUGUUUCUGAAAUAGUUGGCAAGAAUUUAUGACCCACAAAGUGGACUUGGAGUGAUAUUAUGGGUAAAUUCCAAACUCAAUACCAAUUGAUAACUCAAUGCUCAAAUUUUUCCUGAUGCUCCAUUUUUUGUGAUUAUAACUUCAACGGAAUAGUUAAGCAGUUUUAUUGAUCAUUCACUAUAAUAAAAUAUAUCUUAGAUGACGCUUUAUUUUAGCAUCUUUAAUAUUUGACAUGUACCGAUAUCAUGACUAAUCGUCACCAAUUAACAUAUUUUUAUCAAAUACUGAUAAAAAAUUUUCAACGCUAUAUAAAUGUAUCGAUAUAUUUUUUCCUACAUGUUUACUUAAUGACUUUUUACUCGAUGUUUUUAUAACCAUUGAGGUUAUUCUUGCCGAUGUUUUAAAGCGUCGCUAGUUAUUAUUUAAAGUGUUUUAAGUGCAAGAUUUGUUGUAGUAAUUGGACUCAGUAAAUUACUCCUUUUGUACAUAAUGAAAGAGAAUAAUUCUGUAUUUUUUUUGCUUUAACCAUGCAAGUGGAUUCUAACCUAACAUGCAGACGGAAUUGUACAAGAAUUUUGAUCAGUGGACUGUCAGUAUCAAUGUGCAGGUAGCUACUUUGUCGUGACAUUAACUUUGACAAAUACUUAUAUUCCUGCGAAUCCAUCCGCCAGUUCAUGCAUGUAAGAUGGAAUAAGCCAAAUUCUUAUCCCUUCAAUAUUCAACUUUGUUGUUCUGGAAAUUACUUUUUCUCUUCCUUUUUGGCUAAAAUACAAAACAAUUUCUAUAGUUUUUCUGAAUUUUAAAAAUCUAUAUUUUGUCUUUUUAUAAUUUAAAAAAUAAUUUCAAAGUGUUAUGACGUUAAUGGAGAGGACAGUACGACCAAAUUAUCUCUACUUGUUCUGUAACCCCCGAGGUUUCGGAAGAAAUUAUCGAACUUUAGCCAAAUCGACUAAAGUAUGCGAAGAAGAUGGAUGGACAAGUCCCAAUUAUCAUUCCAACACAGUUGUAAGGAUUAAAAGUAAGCUCUAAAAGAGUUGAAAGGGUUUUGGCAUCGAAUGGCGCGAAAGAGAGUGGAAACGAAGUCAAAAAUGACAUUCUGGAUGUCUUNUCCUUGUUGGAACAUUCGUUGAUUGUUUGGAUUGCGACGCCUUGGACGUACUGGGGAGACUCUGUCCGCGUACAGGGGAAUUCCCGGUCCGUUCGGCGGUCUGUCGGCGGCGCCGCGACCCGGUCCAAAUUGGCGGUUGGUCGCGGGGCGUGACAUGUUCUAUAAGAAAAAUAAAUAUAUUUGUAAUAUAUUUCUAUUAUUUUUAAAAAUGUUUCAAUAUAAAUUACAAGAAAAUGGUAAAAUUAUGACAAAAUCCUGAAGGAUGAGAACUAAAUAUAUCAACUUAAAAUUUUGAGGAUAUAAACUGUAGAUUUUUGAAAGUAGGAUAGAAAAAGUAAAAAGUGGGUAUAUAUUUACAUAAGAUUUUUUUGUAUAUUGGCCUUUCUGUUUUUUUUUUUUCUUUUUUUAAGAGAUUGCACCAUAGUUUUUUAUACUAUGUUGUUCAUGCUUCACCAUCGUCUCUAUACUUUAAUUUGUCGCACUAAUUAAGGGUCUUGUUAGAACAUUCCAACCAUAAUAGGGAUGUCACUGGGUCUGAUUCGGGGCUGGUUUCGGGGUGAGUCGGCAGGAUUUUAAAAACCCGAACCCAAACCAAAUCUGAAAUCCGAAUCAAAAUCCGAAUCAAAAUCCAAAUCCUACAGAUUUUAAAAAAUCCAUAUUCAAACCUGAGCCCGAUCAAAAAUCCAAAAUCCAAACGCAAAACAAUUAUUUAGCUUUUCAAUAUUUCAAAAUAUAUUACAUUAAAUCUAAAUUUUUAAUAUACAAAUUUAAAUUCAAAUAUUUCAUGAGUAUAGUAGCCUCACUAUAUAUAUAUAUGUAGAGUGAGACUACUAUACUUCUGGAAAACAUGGAGCCUUCCGUGCUUCUAGGUCGUUUUUGAUGUUGCGACUUUCGAAUCGUCGAUCGGCUCCAUUAAACUUGAUCUAGAGCAUUUGAAGUAUCUAGAAAAUAAAUUUUGUAAUUCUUCGAUAUCAUUUGCCUAGUGAACUAAGGGGCUCAAAAUCAACGGCUGAAAAUAAAAAUCUUGGAAAACGUGAUAAUAUAACAUUAAAAUUUUAGAUCAAAAAUAUUGAUCUUGUUUUAUAUAGUAUAAAAAAUUUUCUAUCAAAAUUUUACGUGAUUUGGAUAUUUUUACACCGUUAAACUUGCAAACGGCUCACCACGGCCAUUAAAAUUAUUGAUUUUCGAGUCAUCUUGAUGCACUAGGCAAAUGAUAUCUGAAAAAUCAUAAAAUUUUUUUAAUUACUUCAAUACUGGAUCUAGAUCAACUUUAACGGUAUCGCGAUCGAUAUCCAAAGUUCAAAACAUCCGAAAUACUAAAAUGCAAGCGCACGGAAGCUCCAUAACCUCAAGAAGCAUAAUAGCCCCACUAUAUAUAUAUAAUAAUAUAUAUAUAUAUUAUAUAUAUAAUAUAUAAUAGAUUGCCUACUAUACAUUAAGUACCAAAGCCUCUGACUCAUUGAGUUUUCUACUACCGUUAGAUCUAUACCUUGAUCAUUUCCACCCGUUAGAUAUACUAUUAAACCAACCACCCACAUUCACCCUUAAGAGGACCACUAUCAAAUUUUAACCGGACACUGUCAAUCACAUACCGCAAACAUACCUUCAUCAACGGCCAAAAACUCAAUAGUAUACCAAAGUGAUUGUACUUAUAUAUAUAGCAUAAUUCUAUAUAUAUAUUAUAUAUAUAUAUUAGGGUCCGGCUACUAUACUAAUUAUGAUACGAUCACCUCGUACUCCAUAAUUUGGUUAUCGAUAAUAGAGCUUCCGAAUCGACGAUCCACACCGUUAAACGUUAUUUACAGCAUUUAAAACUUCUAGAAAUCAAAUUUUAUAAUUUUUCGACAUCAUUUACCUUACGAUCAAGAGGUCACAAAUUUGACAAUUUUUAACGGCCGGUAUGGGAUACUUGCUAGUUUAACGGUGUAAAAGAAUCGGAAUUUGUUGAAUUUUUGAUAGAAAAUUCUAUUCACUACAUAGAUAAAGAUCAAUAACUCUGAUCUUGAAUUGAAUGAUCCGAUAAUACAUUUUUAGGACGACGUUCGAUUUUGACCGUUUAUUUUAUGCCCACUUGAUGGACUUUAGUAUGAUUUUGAAAAUUUACGAAAUUUAUUUUCUAGAAGUUUCAAAUACUCUAGAUCAUAUUUAACGGAGUGGAUCGUCGAUUCGGAAGCUCCAUCAUUAAAAACAACUUAUGAGUACGAGGGCUCCAAUACUCAUAAUAGUAUAGUAGCCAUGGCCUAUAUAUAUAUAUAUAUAUAUAAGGACUAUUGUGCUCUCAGGAGCAUGGUGGCCUCCGUGCUCCUGAGCCAUUUUCGAUGAUGAAAUUUCCGAAUUGACGAUCGGCUCCGUUAGAUUUGAUCUAGCGUAUUUGAAGUUUCUAGAAAAUAAUUUUUGCGAUUUUUCGAUAUUAUUUACCUAGCAAUCGAAAUGAUUCAAAAUCAAUAAUUUUUAAUAGCCGAAAAUAAAAAUCCUAUAAAAAGUGGUGAUGUCACGCUCCGGAUUACUCGUUUACUUGGGCACCUUAACAGACCCGCCGUAUACAUAGAAAUUUUUUCUGUAUACGAAGAGAAUAGCUGUACCUGUACCUGUAAUCAUACAACACUACAACCAGUAAUACAGAACUGCUAGAAAGAAAUAAAACAUAUAUAAUAAUAGUGGUUCCAUAUACAUACAUAAUAUUCUGGUACACAAAAUAACUCGUUCCAGUGAGAUACAACAUUAGUAUGUAUAAGAACCAAAAACUACAAUUACCUGUAGCUGGUACUUCUCUAGCUCUAUAACUUGUCAGGAAGGGUUCUAACACGCAACACUUUUUCCACGAUCAAUAUCAGCAGAAGCAGCUGCUGCAACCGAAGGCUCUGCAAAAUAUCCACAACUGGCGUGAGAACUACUACAAAAAGAAGUAAUCCUCAGUGGGUACCGCUACCGACCUCAACGGCUCACCCACGAAGUCUACAUAUGUAUGCUCAAUGAGAGUAAGAAACUGAAAAUAAUUUACAGCUAUAUGCCACUAUACUAUCAAGAUCCAAUAUUACUAUCUGUAGGAAAAUACAAUUUCUGACCCAAUCUCACUAGGGACUGUGAAUACACCUUUCCCGCCCGUCGAAACUAUACUAACCGAUCACCACACUGGAUCUUCAGUGGAGAGCAAGUCCCAACAGGACAAACCGACAACAACGCAAAAACACUAAGCCCGACUCCGUUGUGGCACUCAUGGGCGCUACCCAACCGAGUAUGCAAGCGUAUCUCUGUUGAGCUCAAUGAGGCUCUCACAGGCUAUAGUCAAAGUAACCAGGGUCUAACAACCAACUCACGUGCUCUCGGCACAAUCUGAUGCAAAAAUAGCAAUCUGGGACCACCGUCAACCUAAACGGCACCCGACAGUCCGGAACAGCUUAAAAACUGCUAUAAAAAUAAGCUCGGCAUCUCAGCACGAGCGUAAAUGGUUGAAUAGUAUGAUCUAAUGGCUGAAAAUGAUCAAUAGAAUAAAUCUAAGGACCGAAAACUUAUGAGUAUAAGGGAGCCAAUACUCAUAAAAGUAUAGUAGCCGGACUCAUAUAUAUAUAUAUAUAUAUAGUUGAGCUAAAAUACUAUCGAUAGCAAACGGGCUCCGUUGCCACCCAUUUGUUUUCGAUGAUGGAGCUUUCAAAUUGAUAAUCGGCACCUUUGAACAUGAUCUAUAUGACUUGAAGUGUUUAGAAAUCAAAUUUCAUACAUUUUCGAUAUUGUUCUCUUAUCCAUCGAGUGGACAAAAAAAUGAACGGCUGAAAAUGAAUAUUCUUUAAAAAAUAAUGAUAAGAGUUUUGUAAUCAAGACCAAGAGUAUAGAUCUUGUUUUAAAUAAUUUAAAGAAUUUUCUAACAAAAAUUCAAUAGAUUUUGAUAUCUUUACGCCGUUAAACGAGAAAACGCCUCAUAUCGACCAUUAAGAUUACAAAUUUUGAAACCCUUUGAUCAUUAGGCAAAUGAUGUCGAAAAGAUUUGAAAUUUGAUUUCUAAACACUUCGAGUGGUAUAGAUUAUGUUUAACAGUGCCGAUCGUCGAUUUGAAAACUCUAUCAUUGAAAACAAAUGGGUGGCAAUGGAGCCCAUUUGCUAUCGAUAGUAUUCUAGCUCAACUCUCUCUCUCUCUUCCUCACCCCAAGUGUCCGACUUUAGUGCCGCUCUCCGGAAUCAUUUUUAACAGGUUGACGCACACGUGAAAGAAGCAGUGCAACACGCCGAAUUUGUGCGGGUUUACAUCUCAUCGGCACCGAACUCAGUCGAGAUGAUAUAUUCAGGACCCGUUUUCUUGCGGAUCAGUUGCUUUAGGCCGAGGUCGUUCGGUCCCGUAUCCGAUAUCUCUCUCUCUCUCUUCUCUAUAUAUAUAUAUAUAAUUAAUUGAGGCUAAAUACUUUUAAAAGUAUCCAGCUCAUUGGUGCUCUUUAAGUUUAUACGCCCUUGGAUCUAUCCCUUCAUUACUAUCAGCACUUUGAUAAAUACUAUUUCACCUCCCAUCUACACGCACAUCACAAUACCUUACAUUCCUUCGCAUCCAAUGAUUAAAAACCUCAAAAGCCCACCUCACUGUGCUUUUGAGAGUAUUCUAGCUCAAACUCUAUAUAAUACUAUAUAAUAUAUAGUAUAAUAUAAUAUAUUAAUAUAUAUAUGCUCCGUUACUAUAUCUCUUAAGAGUACUGAUCGCUCUUUGUACUCAUAAUUUUUUCGACCAUGAAUAGAGUUUCUGAAUCGACGAUCAUCACCGUUAAACGUUAUUUAAUGCAUAUUAAAAACGUUAGAAUCAAAUUUUAACUUUUGUAGACAUCAUUUACCGUUAGGUGUGAUUCAUAUUGGGUUGUGUGGUACGAUCAAAAAAGUUCACAAAAAUUGACAAUUUUUAACGCGUAUGAGAUAUUUGCUAUUAAUGGAAAAAGAAUCAAAUAGUUAAUUUUGAUAGAAAAUUCUAUUUACUUACCUAAAUAAAGAUCAAUAAUCUCCAUUUUAGGAUGUCGUUUCGAUUUUAACCGUUCAUUUUUAUACCUGCGCGAUUGAUGGAUUAUAAUGAUUUCGAACAUUAACGAAAUUUAAUUCCUAAAGUUCAAAUACUCUCUAAUCAUGUUUAAGAUUGAUCGUCUAUUCGAAAAUCCCAACAAUUCGAAAACACUUAUGAGUAGCGAAGGGCUCUAUUAACUCAUAAGAGUAUAGUAGCCCUACUAUAACUAUAUAUAUAUAUAUUGAAAGUUUUGAAGAGCCCAGGAUCAUCUAGAUUGUAUCUAUCACCUAGAGGGGGGUGAACUAAGGUGAACGCCAAAAGCCACAAAAUCUCGAAUCAAUAAAAAUAAUCGGAAAAUAAAAAGCACACCGAGAUUAUACGUGGGAAAACUCCAACUUGAGAAAAACCCACGGACAAACACGCCGAAAAAUAAUUCACUAGAAAAAGAUUACAAGGUGAUUACCGACUCCACGACUUAACCUCUCUUAACCUCCUAUGAUCAUUCGCCUAGCCUCCGUUGUCCACGCCGCUCGAACGUCCGAUAUCCAACUCCUCUACUUCGAAUCCACGAAGCUUCUCACGCCGAAUCCACGACGCCACUGCGAAUCUCACUACCACGAACCAAUCCACGCAUCGCCGUAAAGACGCGCGAAUCCAUACGACGCCACUCAAUGAAGAAUAAUCAUGAAUAUGGGUGAUCCUUCGCUUGAGUAUCGAGAAACCAAGGGAAAUAGAACUCCAAAGCGAAGCUGGAGUAUCAAAUCGACAUAUUAAUAUCAAAUUUCAAUAUUCUCGAAUUUGAUCUAAAAGAGCCUUUUUGUGAAAUAGGUCUUUGAUUGAAUCCGAGCCUUAGGUUUUCUCAACAUAUGUAUUUUUGCGUGAUGCUUUAUCUGUUAGAGAAACCAAUAGCUAUUUAUAAGACUUUAGAAUCAUGGAGUCGGAUUAGAAAGUGUUUUCGACGAUUUUACACUGUACCGUAACUUUAGGCUGUCACAGGUUACACGAUGUACUGAACGAAAACCAGACGAAACCAGUGAAACCGGUUACAGACUUGAUGGCGUACCGGUACACUUCUGAUGCUGUACAGGCACACUUUGCAAAUUUCCGCCGUUUCGGGUUUUGCAAAGUUCCGAUGCACUUUUUAAUCCGUUAGACAUUGAUAACAUGAUUCUAAUGUCUACAACUAAGUAUGAAUCACCAUAACAUGAAUUUAUACUUUACCUGAGCAUCGUAAUUCACGUCGUGGGAUGUUUUCUGACUUCUUUGAAAUCUUGAAUUUUUUCGAUCUUCGAUGAUACGCACCGGUUCUUCAAGACUCCGACUCACAUCACGAAACUUGCCAAUACACAAGACUUAACAAUCUCCCCCUUUGGCAAUUUCGUGACAAAACACACACCAACUCAAAAAUUAUAAUUUACAGAAAAUUGAAGUUCAAUUGUCAUCACCAAAACAAUGAACUCCUCGCGUGUAAUCCAAAUACAAUUUGAAACUCAAACCUACAUCAAGAACUCCUAAAACAAACUCUAUGACUUAAACACAACUAGCAGUCUUGAAGUCUUGAUUUUCCUGCAAAACAAUUCAUCCAAAAAUGAUCAACCAUAAAUUCUUAUACCUUCUCCCCCUUUGUUCUUCACAUCUCGAUCAUAUCUCCUCUGCUUAGUUCAUCGCCUGUUAUCAUCCAUGCUCUCCCCCUGUUCUACGCUCUCCCCCUUUUUUGUCAAAAAUUGCCAAAAGAAAGCAAAUAGAGAGAAAACAAACUAGAAAGCAUAAAAGAAGUCUACUCAUAGAUACAGGCCUAAAAUAAAAAUAUGUCAAAGAAAGAUAAGCAAACAAGUCUAAAACAUCGUCCUAGAAAGGAAGCAUAAUAAAGUAACAAGACAAAGCCCGAGGAAGACAUCACUCCGUGUCCUCGUCAUCAUCAUCAUCAUCAUCUCCUGCUCCAGCUCCAGAUCCCCCAGCUUCAGGAGCAUCACCAGACGGUGGAAUGAGUGGAUGUCGUGAAGUCGAUCUGGUAUAAGUAGUAGGCUCAGCAGGAAAGAUAUCAUCAUGCCUACAUCCCAUUUUCUCCAUCAUUCUCUUCAUCCCUAUUUCCACCUUUCUCGCAAGAUCAGCUAAUUUCUUCUUCAUAGAGCGCACCUCGUGAUGAAGUGAUUCCACAGUAAUCACUCCCCCUGAACUAGAAGACCCCUCGUGUGCUGCUCUAGGUGGAGGUGCUGAACUAGUAGCUCCUCUGGAGGAUCCUUUGGUUUGCUGAAACGUCUUCAAUGUGCUCCUUGACUUUGCCCAAGUUACAGCAUCAAUAGGUCCAAGUCCAAAAUCAUACUUCUCACAUGACACGUCAACACCAUUUUCCUGAAGAAUCCUCGUGAUCAACAACGGAAACGGAAGAAGAUCACGGCGGACCUGAGACUGUAUGACAUGAACCAUUCGUUGCCACAUAAGAAAAGGAAUAUUGAUAUUCAAUCCUCUUGCUUCUCCAGGAUGUCCAAGAAGAUACAGAAGCACAAGACGAUCCCACCGAAUUCUUUUCGUUCCAAUUGUAGGUUGAACGUUGUAGCUCAUCACCAAUGACAGUAGAUGAUAUUCAGGUAGCAAAUCCUUAGAUUCCACAUAUGAAUGAUUAGUCCUAACACCUUCCUUGCAUAUAGCAUGAAUAACAGUCUCCCAGUGAGUUGCAGACUGAAAAUGCCCUGUCGUAUAGUGAAGGCCGCUAGUAUCAACAUGCAUACCUAAGAGUUCUCCAAUAGUAUCAGGGGUGACGUGAAUCUUCUUUUUACGUACAUAAGUCUCAAACACAUAAGUCCCAGUCUCCUCAUCCUCUCCAAGUACUACUCCGUUCAUAUAGAACUCUCUAAUUAGCUCUACACAAAAUGGAGCACGAGCUGGAACCCGUCCAACAGGCUCAAUAGGGACCCUUUGCAGCAAACGGCCAAAAUCUGGUAUCUCCUUGACCAGCUCAGUGAAGUUGACACAACGCUCAGCCAGAACUGACCGGCUCGAAUAAAUCUACUGUCGCGCUAAUGAAGCCUCUGCAGCACGUUUGGAGCGCCUUUCACUUGCACGAGGAUCACCUCCUCUUGAGGAUUCGCCUGCUAGUCCUUUUCCUUUAGCCGCUCGAGUAGCAGCUUCUUCAGCAGCUUCAGGCGAGCUGGCCUGAUAGUCAGGAUCUGAUCCAGAUGACUCGUCGGCAGUACGAGUCCUCUUUGACUGACCACGUCGUCCUCGACCACCACCCCGACCACGACCGGCGGCCAUAAGCACCAAAAGCAAAAUUACGAACGAAAAUGCCAUUUUCCUACAUGAAAAUAAGCCAAUCAUGAAGAAAAUUGUGAAAAAUCUGUAAAAAUAGCAACAAAAAUUUCUAAUAACAUUAGAAUGCAUCCAAAUGCUAUUUCUAACAAGAUCAUGCAACAAUUUUUAAACAAAUGACAUUUUUUAAAAAGAAAUCCCGAAAUUACAUGAAAAUCGAAGCUUAGAACAUGGAUCAGCGAAAAAUAACGUGUUUUGAUGCGAUUCAAGUGUUCUAGAAACAAAAUAAUGUCCUUAAGCACUGAUCUACUGCAGAAAAUUGCAUAAAAAACGAUCAAAAACAUAGAUCUAUGCAUGAACACGAAAUUUUUCGAAAAAUAAACAUGAACCCGAUGAAACAAUUAAAUCCAAAUGAAAUACUCACAGAUUUUGGGGAAAAACGUGCAGAUCUGGAAGAGGAAGGCACCAGGAAUUUUUAGAGAGAGAAAGAGUGAAAUUUGGUUUAGAUUAGAGUGAGAAAUAAAUCUCUGUAACCGGUUAUAUUUCCGCAGCUACAGUGAUUUGUACCGGUACACGGGAUUUUGUACCGGUACACUUUGCCAGAUUUCGAAAAUAUGAAUUUAAAAAUUCAACAAAUUAAAUUAAUUUCAUAUAAAUUAAAGAUUUUACUCCAAAAAUCAUUAUAAUGAAAAUAAUAUAUUAUAAAAUUUCAAAAUUCAUCAAAACUACAAAAUUUCAUUAUCAAACAUGAUUUAAUAAUUCAAAAACAUCAAGAUGUAAGUUGAUGAAAAAUAAUUUAUAGAAAUUCAAUAAAAUUGACACCAAUUUGUCGUAACAUGUUCAAUAUAGAGAUUUAACUAAUAUAAUACCGGGGGUGGCUCUUUGAGGAUCUUUUUCAAACUAACACCUUAUUACUCCGAAAAUCUCUAGAAUAUUCAUUUUUUUUUUUCAACCCUUUUCGUUUUUUUUUUUUUUCAAUUAAAUACCAUGUGGUAACUUCACACACUUACCGGACGACCGGGGUGGUAGCUCUUUCCUACAUGUGGUGGUAGUUUUCACACUCCUUUUGGAUGUAACUCUUUCUACAUCUUUUUCAUAUAGGAGUUUCUUUUUCUCCUCUUUUUUUUUUAUAAAAUUUCAAACUCCCCCUAAAUUAGGCAAUCUCACAAUUGAAAAUAAUUUUGACGAAUUUUAGUCAAUUAGAGAAUAUCCAUUCAUCAUAUCCAACACUCACAACCAAGAUGAAUUAAUCAUCAAAAAAUCAAAUUUGAUUUCAAAAAUUUUGAUGAAUUUAUGCAAUAAGAAAUCAUAUAAUAAAUUAUCGUCAAAAUAAUAAAUAGUGGAGUAAAGACGAUAAUUAAUAUGAAUUUAACUUAAUAUGAUUGUGAACAUAAUACCCGUUUAAACAAUCUUAAAAAAAACUUUCUCUCCAAAAAUAACGAUUCUCAAUCAUCUCCUUUCUCAAAGAUUUUGAAAUUCCCAAAUACCUCUUCCUCAAAAUGAUUUUUAAAUAAACAAAACUUCAAUGCACCAAAAAUCAUUCAACCAUGUAAUGCAAUGAAUAAAAAUAAACAACAAGCACCAAUCAAAGCAUUACACUAAAAAUCAAAAAUGACUAAGACGAGGAGCAAGGAAAGAUAUCACCUUUCCGGAUCCAAACUUGUCGGAUCGUUGGUUUUCUCGACUUGUCGACGUUAGGUGCCGUUUGUUUAGACUUUUGAUAAACCGUUGAUGUUUUCUUCGGUUGAGGUUUAUGCACCCGGUUUGCAUGAACUUGGCGUUGAGCAUUAGAAAUCCAAUUCUUUUGAGAUACUCAACUAACUUGACUUUGCUUUUGAUUCCGUGGGGGAUGUCGAGUAGUAGAGGAUGCCACUUGACGAUUAGAAGUCACCGAUUGAUUCUUCUUGUCUUUGUUUGGGCAAUUCCUUUUGAUGUGUCCUUUGAUGCCACAUCGAUGACACACUUUGCCUUUCAAAGUUGUUGAGAGUUUAGACGUCGCCGUUUGAUCCUUCUCAACAUAUGUCCGUUCAUAUCCAAGGCCCAAUUUGCUUGUUUGACCCAAUCCAAGCAUUUUGUCCAACUUCUUUGAUCCCGAAGAAAAUUGUUGAAGAUCGGAGUGGAGUUGACGGACUUGAUCGGUCGAUACUUGAUUGGACUUGUGCGAUUCAUGAAAUUGAUGCUCCAAAAAUCCAAUCUUGUCGUUAGAAGAUUUGAUCGUUGAUUCCGCUUCAUCUAGCUUCUCUUGGAGGAUUGAAUUAUUUUUCAAAUUUGAUUCUCUUUCCUCCCCGAGAGCUUUAAUCAAAGUCUUCAUGUUGUUGUUUUCCUCCUCAAGUUCCAACAAACGACGUCUCAACUUCUUGUUGAGUUUAGCCAUCUUCUUUGAUUCAAUAAGAAGUUGAUUGUACGCUUCCGCUAUGUCGUCGUCGUUUGAUUCCUCUUCACUUUCGCCAUUGUUGCUCGAUGAAUCAUGUGAAGGAAGAGAAAUAUUGGAGUUAGUAGCAAAAGAGGAUAAACACACAACAUUUGACGAAGGAGUAUUAGCAAAUAAGGCAAUUUGAUCAUUCUUUUCUUCAUCACUUGACGAUGAUUCACUUGAUGUUGAAUCAUCCCAUGUCUUUGCUUGCAUAGUCUUUUGUUUAUACGUCUUCUUUGAAGGACAAUCCGUCGCAAUGUGACCGUAGCCUUUGCACUUGAAGCAUUGGAUCUCGCCUUCAAAGACAUCCUUUUCUUUCGAAGCCUUUGCACGCUUCUUCUCCUUAGAUGUAUACGAUGAAGAUUUAGACGAUGAAACCUUGUCCGAUCUAUUCUGCUUUUGAAAAUUCCGGCGAAAUUUCUUCGUGAGGAGCGCUAAUUGAUGUUCGAAAUCCGCAAGCGAAACAUCUCCGUCGGAAUUCGAAUCGUCGUCUUUCUCUUUUGUCGAUUUCAAUGCAACCCCUGUGCUUAGAGAGAGACUUGGAGGAAGAUUGAUUAGUAGGAAAAGUCAUUUCAUACGUUUGUAAAGCUCCUACUAAUUCUUCUAGUUUCAUCUCGUCCGGAUGUUUGACCGUUUCGAUCGUGGCUACUUUAGCCCGAAAACGUUCCGGAAGAGUUCGAAGAAUUUUACGAACAACUUUAGCAUCCGGGAUCUUCUCUCCCAAAUUAGCACAUGUAUUAAUAAUAUCUUGAAGCCUAGUGUAGUAAUCGGUAAAAGAUUCAUGCUCCUCCAUACGAAUAGAAUCAAAUUGACUAGUCAACAUUUGGAGCUUUUGAAUUUUUACUAAACUAGUACCUUCAUGUGUAAUUUGUAGAGUGUCCCAAAUUUCCUUGGCGGUCUCACACGCCGAAACGCGAGUAAACUCCGUUUGUGACAGUGCAUUAAAUAAAGAGUUUAUGCCCUUGCCGUUAAACGAAGAUGACUCGUUUUCUUCUUUCGUCCAUUUGUUCCGUGGUUUUGGCUUUUCAACAUUAUCGACCUUUUCUAUCGGAUGUUUCCACCCAAAUUCAAUAGAUUGCCAAACCCGCUCAUCGAUAGCAAUUAGAAAAGCUCUCAUGCGAACUUUCCAAUAGGCAUAAUUCGUGCCGUCGAAGAGCGGAGGUCGAUUAAUGUUACCACCUUCGGCCAUUAGAUAACAAUNNNNNNNNNNNNNNNNNNNNNNNNNNNNNNNNNNNNNNNNNNNNNNNNNNNNNNNNNNNNNNNNNNNNNNNNNNNNNNNNNNNNNNNNNNNNNNNNNNNNNNNNNNNNNNNNNNNNNNNNNNNNNNNNNNNNNNNNNNNNNNNNNNNNNNNNNNNNNNNNNNNNNNNNNNNNNNNNNNNNNNNNNNNNNNNNNNNNNNNNNNNNNNNNNNNNNNNNNNNNNNNNNNNNNNNNNNNNNNNNNNNNNNNNNNNNNNNNNNNNNNNNNNNNNNNNNNNNNNNNNNNNNNNNNNNNNNNNNNNNNNNNNNNNNNNNNNNNNNNNNNNNNNNNNNNNNNNNNNNNNNNNNNNNNNNNNNNNNNNNNNNNNNNNNNNNNNNNNNNNNNNNNNNNNNNNNNGGCCACGCAUAGCAGCUUCUAGCUUUUUAAGUUCUAAAGCUUCUUCAGUCUUUUGUAGGGUGCUGCACUUAGUGCUACGAGUCCAUUUCAUAUUUAAGUACAAUACCACUAAGUAUGAAUCAACAUCUGUAAUCUUAGUACAAUAGUUACAGAUUGCCUAAUUUUUCACGUAGCCUUGAAACGUUUUGGGCUUUGCCGCUUUUAAACGUUUCACAUGGCCAUGUCGUAGUCUUCACAUGGCCAUGUUUUACACAUGGCCAUGCUGGUAGUUCCCACAUUGGCCAAAGUGACAAAGCAGACCAAAAAGCAAGGCAGUAGCACAUUGGCCACUGUCGGAUUUCACAUGGCCAUGUGUCACAUUUUAGCACUUUUGAAAGAUUAGGCUGAGGUUAACUAAGAUUUCAGAUAUUUAUUCGAUAACCCGAAGAGAUUGUCUCGUUCGUAGUAUUCUUAUGUACAAACUCUUUGGGAUCUCCGAGCCUAAAAUAAGAUUUGGAUAAAAGAUGUUUAAUCAGAGAAAUCUAGUUUAGCUCUAUAGCAAAGCGUAAGAGAUAUACAGCUAAACUAGAGGCGAAGCGAACCUCAAAAGAAGGAACCAAAAGAUGCUAUAUGAGGAUUCGCUUCCUAGUGGUAUUAGUACUACGAGAAGUACUUGCCGCAGCACCUAAGCCGCACUUGUUUCCGCCAAGCACCUAAGCCUAGCAAUUCUUCAAGACUCCGACUCACUUCACGAAACUUGCCAAUACACAAGACUUAACAUGGCUUACCUUUUAAAAGCUUCAAUCCAAGCUCUAAGUCCUCUAAAUAACAAGAUCUCACCUCCAACAAGCUCCAAUCCUGAGCUCAAGCUUCAACCAUGAUGGAGAAACCACCAAGAAACAAAAAGAGGGAGAAAGAAAGGAUUUAACCCUCAAAAAUGUAAUCCAAAAGCAAUAAUACAAAAGAGAGGGGAAGGGGAGGGCUCCUCACCUUGUUCCUGCUGUGCCCUAGCUUAGGGAACACUCCAAGGGGCGUGGGUGUAAUAUAGAGAAGCCACAAUUGCAAAAACACCCCUGCAGUUCGAACUGCAAGAAAUCUGCGGCCUUGUACCGGUACACGGGUCCUUGUACCGGUACAAGACCCACGAAAAGCCAAACCCGAGGCUCGGGUUGCGGGGUUCUGUGGCCCUGUACCGGUACAAGCCCGGUGGCUAUACCGGUACAACCAUCAACCUUGUACCGGUACAACCACAGCCUUGUACCGGUACAAGCCCUGCUGAGGGCUACCGGAGAGCUGACCAACUUCCAAUUUUUUUUGGGUUUUGGUACACAGCUUAAACCACAAUUCUCGGGAUACAUGUCAUAGGUCGGAACAUAGUCAGCGACCCUCCAGAAAAUCUGGAAGAGCUCAGGACACAUCCAAACACUCGAACCUUGUAAUUUGCAAAGGUCCAAUGCGUUACAUGGUUGGACUUGCUCUCCACUAACUACCCAGCGUGAUGGUUGUUAGUGUAGCUUCGACAGGCAGGACGGGUGUAUCACAGUCCCUGGUUAGAUUGGGUCAGCAUUUAUAUUCACUACAGAUGGUUAGAGUUAGAGCAUGAUAGUGUAGUGGCAUCUAGCUGUAGAUGUAUUUCCAGCUUUUCCUACUAUCCCAGCUCCUUUUUGUAGACUUAGUAGGUGGACCGAUGAUGUUGAGGGCUGCACCCACUAAGGACUAACUUGUUUUCACAGUAGUUCUCACGCCCGGUUGUUUCUUUUCGUUUUGCAAAGCCUUCGGUGCCGGCUGCUGCACCCUCUGAGAUUGAUCGUGGCGAGGGCGUCGCGAGUUAGAGCCCUACCAGACGAGCCAGAGCUAGUGGAGUACUAGCUACAGGUAGUUAUAGUGGUUGAGUUCUUAUACAUACUGUUAUUACUGUUUCUCGCGAGGCGAGCUUUUGUGCCAUGCCCCAGGACCGAUACCAAUUUGGGCCGGCCCGAGCACGUAAAACAGACGCCGAACGGACAGAGUUUCCCCAGUCCGCCUGUAAUAUACCGAAAAUUCGGAAAAUAAAAGUCAAACUUUAGUCAAAUUGACCAAAGUGCGAGGAUGGUACACUUCGGAAAGUCCGAAGGUGUUAAAAAUGAGUAAAAGUGAGUUACGGGAGGUUUUCGAGAGCUAUAGAAUCAAAUCUGCAAAACUACAAAUUUUGAGCUCUCGGGGACCGGUCCCUGGUGGGAGAGAUCGGUCCCCGAACGCGUAUGAAACGAGACAGCCGAAAAAUCGGCUAAGUCCUGAGAAAGUAGCUCUCGGGAACCGGUCCCUGUCCGAGAGACCGGUCCCCGAGAGACCGGUCCCACCAGAGAGGGACCGGAUGCAUCACGCGCAACUGCUCUGGCUGCGCUGGGAGAGCUCUCGGAGACCGGUCCCUAGUCGGGGAGACCGAUCCCCGAGCCCGAAAUCUGCCCAGUCCAGGCAGUUGAAAUAGAUGAAAGUUCAGGGGUUUAUUAGCAUUUUUGCAGCCCAAGGGUUAUGUAGAGGGCUGAGAAAGCCUUUUCUCUCAUCCUCACCCUCUCACACUCUCUUCUCUCCCUCUCUCUCUCUAGAAAGCAAAGGAGAAGAAGAAGAAAGGAAGAAAGGAGGAAAAGAAGGAAAAGAAGGUGAAGAAGAAGAUCAAGUAGCAAGCUUACCUCUUCUCCUUCCUCCUUGGAGCAACUUUGGGAAAGCUUUGAGGUAAGCUUUGAUCCCAAGUAUAGUAAAACCCUAGAAUGAGUUUUGAAUGACCUAGAAGUGGGUUUUAAUGGAAUGUUUAAAGAGUUUUGAAGCUUUCUUUUGCUUCUUUAGAGAUCAAAACCUAGAUUUGCUAUAGAGGUGAGCUUGGACCACCUCUCAUGGUGAAAUCCAAACUAGGGUUUGGAGUGAGCUAGGGAUGGUUCUANNNNNNNNNNNNNNNNNNNNNNNNNNNNNNNNNNNNNNNNNNNNNNNNNNNNNNNNNNNNNNNNNNNNNNNNNNNNNNNNNNNNNNNNNNNNNNNNNNNNNNNNNNNNNNNNNNNNNNNNNNNNNNNNNNNNNNNNNNNNNNNNNNNNNNNNNNNNNNNNNNNNNNNNNNNNNNNNNNNNNNNNNNNNNNNNNNNNNNNNNNNNNNNNNNNNNNNNNNNNNNNNNNNNNNNNNNNNNNNNNNNNNNNNNNNNNNNNNNNNNNNNNNNNNNNNNNNNNNNNNNNNNNNNNNNNNNNNNNNNNNNNNNNNNNNNNNNNNNNNNNNNNNNNNNNNNNNNNNNNNNNNNNNNNNNNNNNNNNNNNNNNNNNNNNNNNNNNNNNNNNNNNNNNNNNNNNNNNNNNNNNNNNNNNNNNNNNNNNNNNNNNNNNNNNNNNNNNNNNNNNNNNNNNNNNNNNNNNNNNNNNNNNNNNNNNNNNNNNNNNNNNNNNNNNNNNNNNNNNNNNNNNNNNNNNNNNNNNNNNNNNNNNNNNNNNNNNNNNNNNNNNNNNNNNNNNNNNNNNNNNNNNNNNNNNNNNNNNNNNNNNNNNNNNNNNNNNNNNNNNNNNNNNNNNNNNNNNNNNNNNNNNNNNNNNNNNNNNNNNNNNNNNNNNNNNNNNNNNNNNNNNNNNNNNNNNNNNNNNNNNNNNNNNNAAAACCCUAUGUGUAUGCAUGAGAGAAAAGUGAGCACCCAAAGUGAGCAAAAGAACAGAGUGACACAAUGACCUAGAUCGAGUGGCAUUCGAUAAAGUUAACGGGAAAUGACACUAGAGAUAGUGUGAGGUAAAGAACCAAUGUAAUGUAAAGAAUGAUGAAGAUGAUAAUGUGCAAAGUUAAAGUAAAGUGGGGCAACGAGAACAAGAAAAGUAACGAACAAGAAUGCUAGAGCUAGCGGAAAUAAAGAAAUGUAAAGAAUGUGAUUGCAUGAGUUUGCAACAUAAAGUGAUGUAAAGAACACUAGAGCUAGUGUAAAGUCAAGAUUGAACUUAUAAAAUCCUUUGAGUUAAGGAUAUGAUCAUACUUGCUAUGAGUUCCGUGCUCGAGGGCGGUCGCUCCCCCUCGGGCGAUGCGCUCCGGAGUUAUGCAUCCGGUUGGAGUAGAUCCGUAAGGACGGUCCUAGCGGGUGAGUUCCUGCGAUGAUAGACUUAAUGUGAAGCAAGUCAAUGUGGCGAUACCCCCGGGUUAGCCUUGAGAUUAAAGAACAAAGAGCAAAGAAUAAAGAACAAAGAACAAAUGUAAAGAUAAAGAGCGAAAGAAUUUGCAUAAUCUGCAUAUAUUUANNNNNNNNNNNNNNNNNNNNNNNNNNNNNNNNNNNNNNNNNNNNNNNNNNNNNNNNNNNNNNNNNNNNNNNNNNNNNNNNNNNNNNNNNNNNNNNNNNNNUAUAUAUAUAUAUAGGGGCAAUUGCCUAUAUACCCCUGAAAAGUUUUCGAUUUUCUUAUUUACCUCUUUUAGAAGGCUAAUAUUGAAAAUACUCUUCUUAUGUUCAAAGUCUUUCUAAUAUACCCCUGUAGUUAAGUUCCGUCAGUGAGCUGCCGUCAUCUCUGAAAAAUUACCAUUUCGCCUAUUCUAAUAUACCCUUAUACCGUAACUAACGUUUCUUAUAUGCCCUUCAUAUAGCAAAUACUUUUCUAAUUUGCCCUUCAAAUAUCAAUUAAUUAAUAAAGCACGUCGGGAGCGAGCAGAUGAACAGAUGAGAUCGAUCGCAGCUAAACCAAGCUUGGUGGCUGGAGGCAUAGUUAGUUAAUUCGGAUUCGACAAAAAUUCGGUACAGAUAUAAUUCGUCUUUUAAUUUUUAAAUUAGUUGAAAAACACGGCUAAAAAACGAAGUCGGCAAUUAUUCAGAUACGUGAUUUAUACGGAUAUUAUACGUUCACCAAUUAAAAAUUUGGAAUAAAAAAUUCAGCUAUAUAAUAAAUAUAUAAUAAUUAAUAUACUAUAGAUAUUAUUAUUAUAUUUUUUAUAUAUAGAUUAAAUAUAAUUAAAAUUAUAAUAAAUAUAUAUUAAUAAUAUAUAAGAGUUACAUAUUUAAAAAUAUUAAUAAAUAAUUACAAAAUUAUAAAUAAAAUAUUAUAUAAUAAUAUUUCUAUUAUAUAAAUAAAAUACUAUAUAAAUAUAUAUUUAUAAAUAAAAUUAUAUAUAUNCGACGAGAGCGGCGGAAGAGGAGCUCCUGGAGAAGCUGGUCCUCGAAGGAAGGAGCUCCUGAAGGGCACGGAGCUUGCGCUUCGAGAGGGCGGAGAGGUUGGCGGCGGUGGAGGCGCGCGGGGAAGGACCAAGGGGCGGAGGUGGUGGCCCCAGCGGAAGCGCCCGGAGAGGACGACGUCACGGAGGGACAGGAGGGAGUCGAGGGCAGGGUGGGGGAAGGAGGAGCAAGGGGUCGAAGGGGUCGAAGGGGUCGCCGUCCUCUCCGCGACGAUGGGGUUGGGGUUGAGGUUGGGGUUGGGGACGAUGAUACGGGAAGGAGGGAGAAGGAGAAUGACGAGGAGUAUGAGGAGGAUAACUUAAGGAAUUAGUAUAAUAUGGUAGGGGCAAAAUAGGUAUUUUAUUUAGAUUUUAACUCUAGUAUACAUUUAACCUAUGUUUAACCUGAGUUAAACUAACAAAGGAUAACUGCAUGGGUAUUUUAGAAUAACGGUGGAACAUAUGAGGGGCAUUUUAGAAAGAAAAAAAAAACAGGGGUAGAUCGGAUAUAUCCGAACGUCCGAACGUAUGAGGGGUAUAUAGGCAAUUAUCCCAUAUAUAUAUAUAUAUAUAUAUAUAUAUAUAUAUAUAUAUAUAUAUAUAUAUAUAUAUAUAUAUAUAUAUAUAUAUGGAACAUGUAUAUGGAAUUGGUGCUAUUAGUUUUUCGGCCCUUAGAUAGAGUGUGUGGUUAGGAUGAUAGUGGUCCCCUAGGGUUGAGUGGGUGGUUGGUUGAAUAGUAUGAUCUAACGGAUGGAUAUGGUCAAAGGGGUAAAUCUAACGGUGGAAAAGUUAGUAGCAUCAAGUGCUUGAUGCUAUUAAAAGCACCCCAGCCGGACUCUCUCUCUCUCUCUNNNNNNNNNNNNNNNNNNNNNNNNNNNNNNNNNNNNNNNNNNNNNNNNNNNNNNNNNNNNNNNNNNNNNNNNNNNNNNNNNNNNNNNNNNNNNNNNNNNNNNACGCAAACAUCAAAAAACGAGCUGGAAGGCACGGAAGGCUCUUGUUCCGAUAGCCAAUAGGUAGACUCUCUCUCUCUCUCGUCUCUCUUCUUCUCUAUCUCUUCUCUCUUCUCUCUAUAUAUAAUAUAUAUUAAUCAUAUAUAUAUAUAGAGUCCAGCUACUAUCUAUGUAGUACGUAGGGCUCGUGCUACCAAGUUGUUUUUGAUGAUGCGGCUUCUAAAAUCGACGUCGGCUCUGUUAGAGUUUGAUCUUACACUAGUUGAAAGUUCUAGAAACUCAUUUCAUAUAUUUUCGUAUAUCAUUACCUAUCAAAGCUAGUAGUCUAAAAUUACGGCUGAAAAUAAAAAUCUUAUAAAAAUGAGAUAGAAGAUUUAAACUCAAGAUCAGAUUAUGAUUCUUUUCGUAAAUAGUGAAAAAUUUCUAUAAAAUUUUCAUCGCAUUUGAAUUGUUUUACCCGUUAACUCUCACAAACACCAGCCAUCGGCCAUUAAAUUAUCAAUUUUGGAGAUCUUUGAUCACUAGUCAAAUAAUGUCCGAAAAAAUUUGAAUUUAAGUUUUCCAAAUACUCUUCACUUUGUGCAUAAGGUCUAACGGAGCCGAUCGUCGAUUUGGAAGCCGCAUCAUCAAAAAACUUCGGUAGCACGAGCGCUCCGUGCCUACCGUAGAUAGAUAGCCGGAACUUAUAUCUAUAUAUUAUAGUCCGCUACUAUAAUAGUAGAUAGUCACUAAUGUCCUUGGUACUAUUGAGUUUUCUACCGUUAGAUCUACCCCCUGAUCAUUUUCACCCGUUAGAUUAUACUAUUAAACCAACACCCACUCAAGCCGCUAGGGGACUACUAUCAAUUUAACCGGGGACCACUAUCAUCCCUAAUCGCACAUCCCUUUCAUCCAACGGCCAGAAAACUCAAUAGUACAAAGGAUUGGUCUAUUGAUAGUAUAGUAGUAUAUAUUAGAUAUAUAUAUAUAUAUAUUAUAUAUAUAAUACUAUAAUUAGAUAUAUAUGAAAUUUGAAGCAUAAAUAGGCGAAGGUGCCAAAAUCCUGUCCAACACUUGAAUGGAGCUCCUUUGACUCGUCAACGUUUUGUCAACGAUUUGUCUUACCCAUACUAUUUUCUCCUUUAUUCGUUUCUCCUUUUUCCAUUCUGCCUUUUUUUUUUUUUUCAGUUUUUACUAUUGUCUUUUUAUAUUUUUAAUGUUUUUUUAAGGAGGACCUAGCUGUUUUUAUCCUGUACAUUUAGUUCAUUUCGCUUAAUGAAUGAAGCAGAUAGCUUGUUACCUCUUUCUCAAAAAAAAAAAAAAAAAAGCAUAAAUCAUGUUUUCAGUUUUGGAUCAGGUGCGGACUAAACAGGCCCUCCUCCCUGUGAGAAAUUUGGCCCAUUUUCAAAAACUGGGUCCGUGGAACAAGUUAGGGGUUGUCAUAAACAAGGUAUUCUCUUAGUUUAACUUUUAGAAUCGAAAUGGAAUUCACUGAUUUAUAUAAUUAUUAUUUAUUUUACCGGAAUCAAAUUUUAGUUCUCAUUCCACUAUGGAAUGAAAAUAAUCCAUUUAUAGCCCAAUCCUAUUUUGAAAUAUGGAUUGUAUUUUUAUAUUUUAUGAACAGCAAUAAGGAGAAUGUAGCUUGUUUUUUUUUUUUUCCAAUAUGAAAAAUCUUGUUAUAUAAUAUUUUGGACGAUAACUAAGCCUAAGAAGGUUCUUCUCUAAUAUUUGUAAUAGUUCUAUAUAUAAGAUAUAACAUGGUUAAAUCUCUUAAUGUAGCUAUAUAGUAUUUUGGGCUGUGGCUAAGUUUAAGAAAUUAAAAAAGUUAUUUUUCUGUGAUUUCAAAGAAUUCUAUAUAUAAAAUAUAAUAGAGCAAAAUCUCUUAAGCUAGCUAUAUGGCAUUUUGCUUGUUAGUUAAGCCCAAAAGGUUAAGAAGAUUAAACAUGUUAGGGCAAAAAUAAUUCUAGAAUGAAUGAUCAUUUGAAAAGUGGGGCGUCACACAAAUAACAUAAAUAUCGGCAUAUACGUCGUGACUCUUUAUUUGGCGAUGCUUUUAAGAACCGUUAAUUACUAAAAAAAAAAAAAAAACGAAAAAAAAAAAAAAAGCUCUUAGAUGUUAUUUUUCUUUGUUAGUGAGGCUCCCGGGAAGAUCCUCCCCCAUCCCUCCCCAGCAGUCACAAAAAAUUUCAAAGAGAAUGCAUCAAAGCUGUAUAAAUAUAAUUUGAUCUUCUUUUGAAUUCAAACCAUUAGUUACACUCGACUAAACCGAACCAGUCAUCGGACUAGAGCUCAAGGAGUAGCUAGUUCGCUACGCUAACAUUUUUACCGCACGGUUUUCGCUCCGGUUUUGCCUCUUGAAGCAUGGUUAGCACGUCGCGCAUGGACGGCCGUUGCUCGGGGCUCUUACAAGUGCAAAGCAUGGCCACUCGGAGCACCAGCAUCAUCUCCUUCCUCACUUCCUUGCAGUUCGCAAUCGUCGCGUCUAGCACGUCCCAGAUUGCUCUAUCGUCCGCCCCGCUUACCAGCUUCUGUCUGAUCCACUCGACUAUGCUAUUUCCUUCUCCGUACUCAGGCUCCACUGAUCUUCUUCCGCUCACGAUCUCCAUUAGCACCACACCGUAGCUGUAUAUAUCGCUUCUCUCAUCGACCUUUAGCGUGCAGGCAUAUUCUGCAUGACCAAAUUUUUAUUAUUCAAGUGUUUUUAUAGAAAAUGAAAACGAAGUUAAAUGCAAGUCUUAUUAUGAUCUCAUUUAAAUUUCAAUCCACACUACGAAAAAUUGAAUUGUUUUCUUAAUUAAGAGUAAAUAUUUAAGAAAAGUAGGUUGAGGAAUGUCCAUUCGAUCGAAAGUUUAUAUAGGAUUACAAUGCACAUAAAUAUGAUUUAAAGUGACAUAGAUUUGCAUUGAAAAUAAGUUAAAGAACCAAAUAGGUUUCCUGUGGUGGUUCCAAAAUUGAAUUAUAUUUGUUUGAAAAGAAGAAAUUAAAAUCCGCAAUUGAAUUAUAUUUGAAAAGAGAUAUAAAAAUACGCUAAACUACAUGAUAUAUUGUUAAAUAAUUUUUUGAACUAAAAAAUAUAUGAGUAAAAAUGAGAUAAAAUAUGAAAGUAAAGUGCAACUCUCUGAACAUGAAAGCUGAUUAGAUGGGGCAUGGCAACUUGGCAAGUAACAAUUACAUUCAAAAAAGUGAUAUAGAUAUGCCUUAUACCAACAUGAAGCUUGUAGGAAGUAAUCAUUCCUGUUGAAAAAAAAAAAAAAAAUUAAAAUGUGACAAUCUUAUAGAUAACAUGGUAUUUUAAUAAUCAUAUUUAGUGUCUAGGGUUUGUCCAUUUGAUUAUGAAUUUUAGAAAAAUAUUAUUAUGAUUAAUAGCUAUAGUUUGUAAUAAUAAUUUUUACAGUAAAAUACAAAUCAUUGCAAACUGUUACUAUACAUCUUGUAAUAAUAAAUGACUAAAUAAUAUAAUUUAUAUUAUCAUAACGACACAAAUUGUUGUAAUAAAAUAUAUGUUUCUAUAAUUAAUGUUGAUGUAAUUUAAAUCAAAGUAAUAGAAUAAAAUUAUUAUAGUGGUAUAUCAUACACGCUUCUUCUCGUGGGCUAGGGAAGUCUACUGUAUCACACUUGUAUUAUAUCAUCAGUAACAACGUCAAUCUAUUUUUCUAUUUGAUUGAGAAAAAUAUAACAAAAUAUUUUUCUAUUAAUAUAUGAUGGAACUAUCAAUCAAAGGGGACAAUUUUAUUGAUUGAAGACGCACAUCAGCAAUAUGCCUAGUGCAUCUGUUUUUUUUUCCUUGGGGGUUACGUUUAAUGCUGAUCGUCUUAUUCACUAUUAGGUAGGGAGUUUAAUUCCCUGAAAAUUGUGAAAAAUAGUUCUUAAGAAAAGAAAAAUUUUUAUGAAGAUUUUUUUUUUUUUUAGUUUUUGUUCACCUGGUUUCAAAUUUUUUUUUAAUUUUCUUUUCAGAUUUAUGAAAAUAUAGCAUUUUCUUUUUCCUAAAGAAAAAUUCAGAAAAUAUAAAUACUAAUUUUUCAUAAAUUUGAAAAUAAAUUUAUUGAAAAAGCUAGAUUUUUUUAGAACUAACGGGAGGAAAAAUAAAAAAAAUGUUUCCAUAAAAAAAUAUUUUUCUUGAAAUUUUUAGUUUUUUUUUUUUUUUUUCGUGAAACCAAAACGGCAUCUAAAAGCAUGAUGAUUGCAUGCUCGAUAUUUUAAUGAAUUAAUUGGCUGUUAAUUACAGAACUACCAACUAUAUAAUACUCAAUAAAACAAGAAUAUAUAUAUCAUAUUCUCUUUUUCCUUUUAGGAUUUGCUAAUAGAAUUGAUUUAGAAAAAAAUAUUUUGAUAAAUUGAAGAUAAAUUUGUAAUGUUGAAUGUAAUAAGCGGUAAAUAACAAAAACCAACCAAGAAAAAAAAAAAAAAAAAAAAAAAAAACUACUUCACUACUUAAUUACCCGGUGCAAUGUAGCUGCAGGAUCCGCUGAUCCCCGACACGGACAGGGCAACAGCACCGUCCAUAAACUUGGCCAGUCCAAAGUCGGCCACCCUCGCCUCCAUCUCUGCGUCCAGCAGUAUGUUGCUCGGCUUCAGGUCCCGGUGGACCACCAGCGGCGUACAGUCGUGGUGCAGGUAGCUCAUCCCUUGCGCCACACCCACCGCGAUCCGAUACCUCGCCUCCCACCCCAGGUGCGCCCCCUUCCCCCCGUGGAGCAGCUUCUCCAAGCUCCCGUUCGGCAUGUACUCGUAAAGCAGCAGCACUGUCUCGUUGUUCCUGCACCAGCCUAGUAGUCUCACGAUGUUGCGGUGGCGCACCGACCCUAGCACCUCCACCUCCGCAGCUGCCGCCGCCACCGUAAUCGCCUCCCUCUUACUACUAUCAUUACUGUUCUCUUUACCUCUCUUUCCCUUGUUAUGCGGCAGCCGCAGCUCCUUCACCGCUAUCACCUCCCCGUUGGGCAUCUCGGCACGAUACACCGUUCCCGUCGACCCCGCGCCGACGACCCGCGCGCUCCCCCGAUCGGCGCACGCCGCCGCCACGUCCUCCGCCGUGAAGUUGAGCCUCUGGAACGCCAUCAUCUGCCACUGCCCGGGCCCGACGGCGCCGCCUUUCGCGUCAGCCUCGCCCCCCUCUCGCGACCAUCUCAUGCCCACCGCCAGCACCACCAAACCGGCUACGGCCACUGCUGUCGCCCCUGCCAACAUGAUCACCCCGCCUGCAGUCCUCCUCGCCGAAAAAUGAUCGUCGUCUCCCCGACCACCACCGCAUGGCUUGUCGACCGCCUCGCCGCAGAGCCCGACGUUCCCUUCGAAUUGCAUGACGGAGCUGAUCGUCGACGGGACCGGCCCCGUCAGCCGAUUGAACGAUACGUCGAGGCUUUCCAACGUGCUGCAGUUGUCGAACUCCGGCGGUAUCGGGCCGCUGAGGUUGUUCCACGAGACGUCGACCUCCGUGAUCGACGGCAGCAUUGCGAUCUCCCGCGGGAUCUCUCCCGUGAGCCGGUUUCGAUCGAGCUUGAGGCUCACGAGCUUGUCGCAGCGGACGACGUCGCUCGGAAUCGUCCCGCUCAAAUCGUUUCCCUCCAAAUCAAUUCUGUAGAAAUCACUGCAUCCCGAAGCGAAGGACGGUACCUCUCCGGUCAAUCCGCAGUAGCCGGCGGCGAAGACCUGUAGCCGCGGCGCGGUCCAGAUCGCUCUCGGGAGCGCUCGCCGGAGCGGAUUGCCGGAGACGUUGAAAUACGCCAAACUCGCGGCGCCGCACAAGUCCCGAGGGAUCGCGCCCGAGAGCGAGUUGCUGCUGAGGUCCAGGUAAGUGAGGUUGGGGAGCGACCCGAACCCGACCGGGAUCGGGCCGGUGAGGUUGUUCGACUCGAGCCGGACCCGCCAGAGCGAGGAGCAGGUCGCGAGGCCGCGCGGGAUCUCCGAGCCGAGCCGGUUCGAGAAGAGGAUCAGCCGGACGAGCCGAUUCCCGGCGCAGAGGCGGGGAGGGAUCGGACCGGAGAGGAGGUUGGUGGACGCGUCCAGCCGCGCGAGCCUCCGGUUCGAGCCGAGCCGCUGCGGGAGCGGGCCGGUGAGCGAGUUGUUCCACAGGUUGAGCGCCUCGAGAUUCGGGAGGUCGCCGAGGGGGCCCGGGAUCGGGCCGGAGAGCGCGUUGCUCAUGAGGCUGAGGAGGGUGAGGUUGACAGGACGAAAGAGAGCGGGAUCGGGCAGAGAGCGGUUGUCGGAGAGGUCGAGCUUGAGCGCCUGGGGAGAGAGGCAGGCGAUCAGGGGCCAAGAACGAGCCGUUCUCACUUGAAAGAGGAAGCAAAGAUCCAAAGAGGAAGAAGGAAGAAAAGGCGACGGCGGCAGCGGCGACAAACUGCGGACGAACUAGUGAGGUAUGCGGAGGUUCCGCAGGUUCUGAGCUCGAUAGCCCCGGCGUGAGGAGUUGUAGCCGAGCUCGAGGUGGUCGAGGGGAGGAAGGGAGGCGAGCUGGGGAGGCGCUGCGGUGAGCAGAUUGCCAGAGAGUGGAGGAACGAGGAAAAGAAAAAUCUCGGGGGAAUCUAAGUCGAGAGCUGCAAGCGAGAUUGAGGUAUCGAGGGAAGGGGAGAGUGCGCCAGGAGAGGCGAAGAAGAAAGAGGUGAAGUGUUGCGUGUAGGCGUUUGAGGUGGCGAGAGAGCUCGCGAGUCGGUGAAGGGAAAAAAAAAAGGGGAGGGGAGGGGGAGGGGAAGGUGGAGUUUGAAGUGUUGUGGCUGACGUCGAGGGAGAGGGGGGGAGGCGGAGGGAGGAGGGGGAGGGGGCCGCGGAGGAGUUGGAGUGAGGAUUGAGGCGGGCGGGCGGGGAGAGGAGGAGGAGCUCGGGGGGGAGGGAGCCGACAGUAUACGCGGCGGGCAGCAGGUCGAGGCCGAGAGCUGGACGCACUCCGGUGGACGGGUGGCUGCGCCCCCCCGCCGUACGAGCACCAGGGCCGAGGGUCGUCGCGCCGCGGCGAGCGGCGGACCGUAGGUCCAGUCGCGGAGCGACGCAGCGGGUCCGACAGAGAACGUUCAGCGACAGCAGGCGCGACGAGCCGCGCAGUAGUGGGCUGCAGCUGCGGGAGGCGAAAAGGAGGAGGAAGAAGAAGCAGCAGAAGAAGGUCAUGGUCAUGGUGGUGGUGCAGGCGGUGGUGGUGGUGGAGGGGAAAGAUGAUCAUAAAAGGGAGGGGAAGAGAGGACGCUUUUCGGGAAUGCGGAGUAGCGUGCCGGGGUGAAGGGGAGCCUCAUCAUGGUAGGAGAGACGAUGAUGAUGGUGAUGGGUUCUGCGCUGGUGAGUGAUGAAGGAGAAAUUAAGGCAUGCUCGCGCACUGUCUCUUUCUCUUUCUCUAUCUCUGUGGUAGGGAGGGAGCUUGAUCGCGCUCUCUUGUCUCUUUCGCCUUUUUGAAUUUUUAUCCGCAUGCUCCCACAAAAGAGAAGAAGAGUUAAAGAAGAGCUCGGAGCGCGCGUGGCAUUUGGGUUCGACUGCUCUUCUUUUACAUGUCGCCGGGCCCACCGUCGAAGUGAAUUGGAUGGGUGCGUGCUCGCCUGCCGCUCGCCCCAUCAUAUACACUCGGGUAAUUAAUCGAGUGCCGCCUGUUUCGUAUGUUGGGAAUUUCGCACUCUAGCUGCUCUGUCUCUCUGUGUGGGAUCUGCAACAUUCUAUUUCUUAUGACUUCAGUAGGCACUUCUCAACUCAGCAUUUUUUUUUUCUUUUUUUUUUCUGAGAGAUAGAUAGUAUGGUGUAUGGUACUUUUUUUUUUAUUUUAACUUAGCCAAAAAUAUGAAUCAAUUAGGAUACGAACUCGGGACCUCAGGUACCAACCAGUAAGCCCUUUACCACUUAUGUUAGGGACAGUCGGUAUAGCAUUCUAAGCAUUGUGGAAUCUACAAACAUAAGCACAAUAGAAAUUAAAAUUUCAGUAGGCGCUUCCCAACGCAGCAUUCUGUUUCUUGUGACUGAACAUUGUAGAAUCUACUAACAUGAGCAUAAUAUAAAUGAAACUAAAGUAGGCGCUCCCCAACAAUGUCUCAUUGCGAAGUCUUUGACUUAUUAUCAUAUAUUAAUUUUAUUUUAAUUUAAAAUUUUGUUGAAUAUUUUUAAUAUUAAUUUUUAAAAAUAAUUUAAAUUUUUAACAAGAGAAUUAUAAUUUUCUAGUGGAGGCAAAAUUGAUACAGAUAGCAGAUAGGAGAUUGCUCAGUGAAACUUUACUGGGUAGCCCCCACUGUAGCUUUUUUGGCACAAUACUAGCUAAUAUUAGCGAGCUAUUCUGUGUGGAUUUGCACCAUUUAAGGACUUAAUAUAGGGAGUAGAGACAUUGGAGGACCUCUUCUAGACUAUUGGCAUAUACAUGGGUAUGUAUCCAUACCAAAUUGGCAACUAUUAGGAUGCAUUUGGUUCGGAUUACCCUGAUAGGAUUACAGGCAAUUUCGCCUAGAUUACUGCAUUUGGUUCAUCUAUUAAAUAAUCUGAUUAGUAAUAUAGUAUUACAAAUGGUCCAGGAUUACACUGAGGGCGUGUUUGGUUCAAGUUAUAUAAUAUUACAGAGUAUUUCGAUAUAUUCAGAUAUUUUGGAUUUCUAAAUGAGAUUAGUACUUAUGUUGCAUUAACGCGUUUGGUUUAAUACAGUAACGUAAUGCUAGAUUUCAGUGUUUAUAAUAUUAUUAUAUUUGGUUUUUUCUAUAAAAUUCGGUAAUCUAGACAAUAAAGUAUAGUCUAUUCCAAAAUUGCCCAUAGUCAUAUUUUGUAAACAUUUUUUUACUAUUUACAAAUAAUAUUUUUUUACUAAAAUUAUUUUAAAUAAUUUAAUUUUUAAAAUUUUAAAUUUUAAAUUUUAAAUUUGAACAAAAAUAUAAAUUUAAUAUUUUAAUUUAAAAUAUAAGUAUGAAAUUUAUAAAUUAAAAUCUAAAAUAUAAAAAUAAAUAUAAAAUAAAUAUUAAAGUGUUAAAAAAAUUUAAAAAUAUAUAAGAAUUAAAUUAAAUAACAAAUUUGAAGUUUAAAAAUUAAUUUGAACUUAAAAUUUAAAUUUAAAAUUUAAAAUUUGAAAUUAGAAUUUGAAAUUAAAAUGUAAAAUUCUAAAAUUCAAGAUUUAAAAUUUAAAUUUAAAUUUGAAGUUAAAAAUUAAAAUCUAAAAUUAAAUUAAAAUUUCAAAAAUCUUUAAUUUAAAAGUGAACAAUUAAAAUUUUAAAUUAAAUUUUUUAAUAUUGACGUAGGUUGAAAGGUAUUCGUAAUUAGAGGGGCCCUAUAAAUUGUAUAUUUACAUUAAUAUGCAAAGAUACAACACACCCCACUUUCGUUAAUAGUUAUUUGGUGUACAUCUUGCACAUUUGUAAUGCUACAUUAAUUGAUGCCGAUGUAGCAUAUCGAUAAACCAACACACGGUAAUCUUAACAGGAUUGCCUGUAAUCCUAUUAGGAUAAGCCCGCCAAACGCACGCCUAAUGAAAAUAUUAUUGAGCAAUGGAGUGCAGUCAUCUCGCAUUACUCAUGGGCAUGGUUUAUAUUGUCUGUAUAUAAAUUAUAAGUUAUCUGUCCGAACCUCCAAAUCGCUUUCAAUACACUUAUUUUAAAUUAUCAAUUUAAAUUUUCAAAUUGUCAAUCUUUUAGAUUUUAAUCUUUAUUUUCAAUUUUAAUAUCAAAUUUUAAAUUUUAAAUUUGUAAUCUCUAAUUUCAAUUUUCAAAUUUCAAAUUUAAAUUUUAAAUAUUUAAACUUCUAAAUUUCAAGUUCGAACGUUUCAAGUUCAAGUUUCUAAUUUUAAAUUCCCUAGAAAUUCAUAUGAUUUUAAAAUUUCAAAAUUUAACAACUUCAAAUUUGAGAUUCUUAAAUUUCUAAAAUUAAAAUAUAAAUUUUUUAAAAUUUUUAAAUUAAAUUUUAAAUUUAUAUUUAUAUUUAUAUUUAUAUUUUAAAAUUUAAAUUUAAAAAUUUUAUAUUUAUAUUUUAAAUUAAAAUAUCAUAUUUUAUGUUUUCUUCAUAUUUAAAAUUUUAAAAUUAAAAAUAAAAAAAAAUGUAAAUUUAAAUUUAAAUUAUUUAAAAUAAAAUUGAGUAAAAAAUUAUAUUUUUAAAUAGUAAAAAAAAUUGGCCAAAUAUGACUCAGGGCAACUUUCGAAUAAAUUACACAUUGUUGUCAGGAUUACUUAAUUUUAUAAAUUGAAUCAAAUAUAGUAAUACUAUACACAUUGCAAUCUAUUAUUAUAUUACUGUAUUAAACUAAAUGCGCUAAUACAGUACCACUAGUAAUCUCAUUCAGAAAUCUAGGAUAUUUGAAUCUGUCGAAAUUAUCUGUAAUGUUACAUAACGUGAACCAAACGAGUCUUUGGGUAUACUUGAAGUAAAUUAAUAAAAAACACAAUAACAAGCCUAGAUCUCUCAAAAUUGUUUUGGGAGUCAUGGGUGAUAAUGUGCAAAAAUUUAAAAUUUAAAAUUUUUAAAAUUCUAUAAACUACACACACACAGACACACAUACACACAUAUAUAUAUAACUAAAGAUUGAUACUUGAAUUCACAAUUAUAACAUUGUUAUUUUGAAAGAUCUAAAAAUAAUUUUUUAGAUUAUUCGAAUAUAACAAUUAAUUAGCGUAUGUUUUUUAUUCAAACUUUUAAGCUCAUAUUCUAAACUUUAUAAAGUAGUAUAAAAUAUAGAAGAUAUAAAUAUAAUAAUGUGAAAAAUAUUAAAAGUUAAGGUUUUUUUGCAUACCGAUUUUUUAUUUUGUAAAAAUGGGCCACUUUUACGAAUUUUAUAGAUUCGACCUGUACUUUAAUAAAUUGACCAAAUUAUUCUUAUUUAUCUUUCUCUUUCUUUUUUUUCUUUUUUCUUUUUUUUUUCCCUCUAGUUCGUGUUUCUCCUUCUGGUUCGUCCCCUUCCUCGCUGUUUCUUCAUCUCUUUCUCCUCCAGUUUUUUUUUUCUUUCUCUUCCUUCUCCCCCCCAAGCCAACUCCGUGCUCCUCUCUCUUACGUCGCCCACACCUUCGCCGAUUCCGGUUCACAGAUUGCGGAGGUGAGGCUGCGGCGGGGGUAGCCAUGGACAACGAUAGCGACUAUAGUGUGUCAUGGAAUUUAAGAAUGACGGGGAGGGAAAACACAGAUGCGGGGGCGGCUACUACAACAGAGCAUGAGGAAAGAGGUGCUAUAGCAAAAAGGAUACAAAAGAUGAAAAAUAAAAAAUAAAUAAUGUUAGAACAGAUUGUGAUAAAGGUAUGAAAUAGAAAGAUUAAAAAGGCUUCAAGGCGUGUAGCAAUGCCACUUUCCUUAAGGCUUAAUCCGUCCCCACCGUUCUAACAAUUUGGUGUGCACCGGGUCAACGAACAACCUCCCAGGAUACAAUGAAGCGUAAACCUCAACUGCGUUUGCACACACGAAGUCGAGCCUUUGAGCACUCACUCGAUUAAGUUGUCAAAAGAAAUAGAAUAUAAAACAAGAAUGGAAUUAUUAUGAAUGAAGACUUCAACUCUUCAACUGUUUUCUGUCUGUCUCCUUCUGCAACCAAUGCUAUGGACUUAUAUAGGCCACGAACGGGUGCUUCAUGAAGUAACUAUUCACGAAAGGGUGUUUCGUGAAGUGACCUUUCGAUUGUGACUUUUCAUUUGAUCAUAACUACCAAAUAGUUAUAUGAAUCAAGUUCAAUGAAUAUAACCAUUGAUUCCAACGGGCAUAUGUACGAAAAGACACACUAUAAAGAUGUGUCUUUUCAUAUCAUAUUCUUUCACUAAAAGUCACAUCCUUUCACUCUAAGAGUCAUACCCUUUGAUUAGAGUUGCAUCCACUCACUAAGGGUUGCAUCCAUUCACUAAGAGUUGCAUCCAUUCACUAAGGAUUGCAUCCUUUCAUGAAGAAUCACAUCCAUUCACUAAAAACAAUAAACAAAAUAUAUUAUUUUAAAAUUUUCCUUACAAAUAAAAUAAAUAAAAUUCUUAUGGGAAGACCAUCAUACAUUGUGGCCGCUAUAGGAAAAACCAAAAGUAAAAAAGAAAGAACAAAUUGGUAAAGUUGCACUAUUUGAAGCUAAAUUGUACCAUUUGAGACUAAAUUGUAUCAUUUAAAAUUAUUUGAAAUUAAGUUGCACCACAUAAACUCAAACUCUUUUGAGGAUCUAAGUUGCAUUAUUUUAAACUAUUUGAUACUAAGUCUAAAAGGACUUAUGGUAUCAAAUGAUCUAAGUGCCUUAUUAGAUGAGGUAUGAAAUUGUAAAUUUGGAGCAGGGAAAAUAUAGAAUUAGUUGUGUGUCGUUGAGGAAUCAUAGGAAUCUUUAUCUUAUUUUGCUUCUUGUACACAUUGAGCAAUAUGGGCUACAUAUAUUGUACUUAAUCAUAAAUAAAUAAAAAUAGAGAAGCUAUUAUUUCAAACUCUCAAAUUCUUACAUGGUAUCAUAGCACCAAUCCUAAUAUCAACGAAACCUUUGCAGCUUUUCUAAUUCACGAUCUCCACUCACCAUGGGCAAUCAGAAGAUGGUGGUAGAGAUACCAACAUCAUACUAGUUGAGUUCCUCGGAUAAUCUAGAGACCCUGUUAGUUUCCUGCUCUCUCAUGGGAGGCAACUGUUCAACAUGGGUAAGGGCAAUGAAGAAUGCCCUGCAGGCAAAGAACAAGCUUGGGUUCGUUGACAGGACAAUGAAGAAGCCAGACACCAGUGCACAGGAGGCAUGCUAGCUACUAGACAAUUUGCAAUUCAUUGGUUAUUGCUUGGAUCUUUAAUUCUCUUGACAAAUCGUUACGAAGGAGUGUUGCUUAUGCCGAAAAUGCAAAAGCUAUGUGGGAUGACUUGAAGGACCGCUUCUCUCAAGGAAAUGCCCCAAGAGUUUUCAAACUCAAAACUGAGCUUAGCCUUCUCCUUCAAGAGAGUUUAUUGAUGGCAAGUUAUUAUACGAAGUUGAAAACUCUAUGGGACAAACUCGAUGAUUAUUUCAGAACGCUAGCUUGCACGUGCACGGCAACCCGGAUUAUGUUAAGAAGAAGGAAAUGGAGAAACUCUACCAGUUUCUCAUAGGCCUCAAUGCCGAAGUUUUUGGCAUUGUUUGUUCGCAAAUACUGAACUCUGAUCCUCUACCGACCUUGAGCAAAGAAUAUUCAAUGGUAAUGUAAAACAAGGUCAUAGACUGAAGUGGGUCCAUGUGGCGGCCCUCUUCACAAACAACAGCGAAAAAGGGAGCGCGAGACUAACUCAAGGUCAUAGACUGAAGUGUGACCACUGUCAAAAAAAAUUGGACAUAAUCGAGAGAGUUGUUGGGGACUGAAUGGUGACCCAAAAAAUUAGGAACAGAGACGUGGAUCUGUCUGCCGUGAACGAACCGGCCCCGCCGUAGGUGUUUCUAAGGGGAGUGGUCAUUCAUGGUAGAUAUUAGAUUUGCUUAAGAUUUCUUUUGGAAUCAGGAUUAUAGGUUCAUGGCUCCCAACAGACUCAAGAAUCUGCUAUCAAUUAUUCCACACUUUCGGUGUUAAGGAACCCUUGAUUAAGAGAUCAAAUAUAAAUGCUGAUAAUAAAAGAGACAAAACAGGCAAAUAAAAUUUUAUUAAUAUGAUUUGUCGUGUACAUGACCUAAGCAGGGGCAUUCCCCCACUGUACAUAAAUUUUAUAAAACUAAAUACUCAGUUUAUAGACUUGAUGGUCGAUUAGGAUCAGAUUGCUCAGUUUAAUGACAUGGCGGUCGGUUGAAAUUUUAAUGCUCAGUUUAAUGACAUGACGGUCGGUUUAAGUUUGGUUUAACGACUUUACAGUCGUUUGGAUUGGGUUUAGUUUAACGACUUUUCGGUCGUUUGAAUUUGGGUUAAGUUUAGCGACUUUUCGGUCGUUUGGAUUUGGGUUUAGUUUAGCGACUUUUCGGUCGUUUGGAUUUGGGUUUAGUUUAGCGACUUUACGGUCGUUUGGGUUUGGGUUUAGUUUAGCGACUUUUCGGUCGUUUGAAUUUGGGUUUAGUUUAACGACUUUUCGGUCAUUUGAAUUUGGAUUUUGAGUUUUAUUUGUAGACUUCGGAUUUUGGUUUUUAUUUGUGGACUUUGAAUUUUUGGGAUUUUGUUUGUGGGUUUUGGGUUUUGGAUCUUUAUUUGUGGACUUUGGGUUUUGGAUCUUUAUUUGUGGACUUUGGAUUUUUGAAAUUUUGUUUGUGGAUUUUGGGUUCUGGGUUGAGAAGUUUAUUUAUAUGAAUUUUUAUUGGUUUUGUAUCCAAAUUUGCAUGUGGCUUGAGAUGGGUUUCGGGCUUUAUAUGUUCUAGGCUUUGGUCCCGAAUGUGCGUGUGGACUUGGAUUGGUUUUGGACUUUACAUAUUCUGGGCCUUAAACCCGAAUCUGCAUGUGGACUGAAAUUAGUCUUGAACUUUACGUGCUCUGGGUCUUGGACCCGAAUCUGCAUGUGGGCUGGGAUUGGUUUUUGACUUUACAUGUUCUGGUCCUUGGACCCGGAUCUGCAUGUGGGCUCUGCAUAUGGGUUUGGUGCUUUAUUUUUUUUAACUGCUUAUGGAAUUUGCUUGUUGGGCCCAUGAUAAAUUGAACCAUUUUCAAAAUAACUCAAAUCCAACUUCUCCAAUUUUGUUCCUUGUUCUUUUUUGUCCCUUUUUUUUUUUUUUUUUCACUUUUUCCUUUUUUUUUU